rnacentral:lncRNA from 1 species
UUUGAGGCCUAGGUGAGAAGGAUGUGGCUGAGGUGAAGACCGAGCUCCUAAAGCCUAUCUGAGAACGCCGAGGUGAGGAGCCUAAGACCGAACUCCUCAAGCCAACCUGAGAAGGCCGAGGUGAAACGGUUGAGAUAAAAAGGCCGAGAUGAAAAGAUUGAUCUAAAAAGGUCAAAAUUUUACACUAAUCUUUUCUCUCAUAUAUUUUACUUUUCUACCAUUAUCUCAAAAUUCUUUCUAACUUAGGCAUCGGAGAGUCUGGCUAGAGUCAAACCGACGAGUUUUAUUUUUAUGUGCAGAUCAUUAUCAUUCCGUGGAUUGACCGCCCUCAUAUCUUCAUAGUCGGCCAGAUUUUGUCAUCAAAAGAUUAAAAAAAAAAGAGCAUCAAAGCUUGUUCCACGGAUUACGGUAAAGAUGGAAUGGUCUGCAGGCAUCGGUUCUUUCUUUAGUUGGGUGCACAAGUGCACGGUCCAUGCACGUUGCUCUCGUGUUGAAGGAGCUUUCCUUGUCCACCUCAUACCACAUUUUCAAAGGAACACUCCACGUCAUACUUUUAUACCAUCCUCUCUCUCUCUCNNNNNNNNNNNNNNNNNNNNCUCUCUCUCUCUCUCUCUCUCUCUCUCUCUCUCUCUCUAAAUUCCUUCUCUUGUGAUUUUUUGCCCAACUAGCAAGGUUUAAUUAUUGGAUGAAUGCGAGUGGGUGUACCUACCCAAGAUACCGCCUUGGGGAAGGCUUCCACCCGGGGAAAUGCUUAGUGGGCCUACUUAUGGGAUAAGAUUUCACCUGAUCAAUAUUAAAAUCAUAUCUUCUUACUCCUCAUUGAAUUUAAAAUAUUAACUUUGAUAGAUUGUCUAAUAUCAUGUUGACAAAGAGAAGGUGAUGCAACACGUAUCAAGCCAAGAUGGUUUUUCAAAGAAAAAAUAAAAUAAAAGAGGAUUGACAAGUGCAUGCAUUUAAAUAUUAAUCUACAAAGAUGCAUGAUCUUAGAUACUAAAAAAUAAUAUGGUUUAGAAAUUUCUAGCAUGUACAUGAAGUGACCAACAAUUGAACAGCUUAAAUAGUACCAGAAAAUUGACCACUUAUUGUAUAGACUAGAGAUCUCGAAAUUAUAUAAUUUUUGGUACUGCUAUUUUUUUUAGGUACUACUAAGUAGUAUAGAGAUAGUAGAUUAUAUCCAACGAUUCGGAUUAUUAAUGUAAGACUUUUAUUGUCCAAUUCAGAAAAACAUGCAACUCUAUAAGAGUUACACUUCAUUGCGAUCCAUAUACAUAUACAUAUAUGUACAUAUGUACACAUAUACAAACAUUAUACAUACAUAGAUACAUACAUAUACAUAUAAUAUGAGCUGGAUCUAAGCCGAUGGACGUGAUUUAGUACCUCUAAGUUACUUACGACAUACCAAAAAUCAUAUGAUUUAGAGACUACUAGCCUAAAUGGUCAAAAAAAUCGGAUUGUCUAAACAACAUUAAGUUAUAUAUGUUUUUUUGAUGACUUGAUGAAUAGGUUAGAGGUCUCCAAAUCAUAUUAUUUUUGAUGUACAAUUUAGAGAUAAUAAAUCACAUUCAAUGACUCGAAUUAUUAAUGUAAAACCACAUAGUCCAAUCUAGACUUGACCAGAUCAGAGUGGAGAUCCAUUUAAGUGGAGCCAAGUUCACCCCUCUCUCUAUAUAUGUAUGUACAUACGUACGUAUGUAUGAAGGCUUGUUAUAACUCAAAUAGUAGUCAUUAUUUGCAUUAACUAUUUCUUUUUUCCCAAAUUCAAAAUUUUAUUCCAAUUUUUGGACUAAAAGAAUUGCACCACCUUAAUUAUAUAGCUUAUUAGGUGAAAAGUGAUCAGAAAAUAAUAUUAUUUUGCUUUCACUAUUAUAGUGUUAAGUAUGGCAUUCAACAUUGCAAUACUAUUUACAUAUACAUACAUAUAUAUUUGCAUACACAUCUUUUUACAUAUAUUAUUGCAUCUUAUUUUUGUAUCGAUUCCACUCCAUUAGUUUUUUUGUUAAUGGUGUUAAUGAAUAGUCAUUUAAAGUGUAGAAUGACUCUAUUAUUCUUUAGCAUUAACACUUCAAAUCAAUGAUACAUUCAUUUUACACUUAUAAUAGUUAUUUAUUGAUGCUGUCAGUUAAGAGGAAGGGUAGUGUUGUGGAAACAAGAUAAAACAAAAGGUACAUACGCAUGAGGGGCCAUGGAGUUACUUGAGCAUACCUAUUAUCGGAAGAAGACCAAACGACGGAGUACCUAGGCGUGGUGCAGUGCAUUCAGGAGUAGCUAGAGGGUUGAAGAGCAGCUUCGCUAUCUAUAAUAGGCAGGCUAACCUUUGUGAGAUCGGUCCUUAGCUCUAUGUCGAUCUACCUCAUUCCAACACUAUUAUUUUGAAGUUGGUGCUGCUGAGGAUCGAGCAGAUGCUUCGGAGUUUUUUGUGAGGCUCUUAUGGCAUUCGACACGAGGUGCAUGUGCUUGUUUAGAGUGUCGUUUGCCAUCCAACUCAGAAGGAGGGGCUGGGUAUUCAAUCUCUGCUCAUGAGAAGAAAAGCACUGGUCGCGAGACAUGCCGAAAGGCUGUUCCUUGAGCCACGGAGCCUAUAGAGUAGGUGAUGACAGCCUGGUAUGGCUCGGAGGCCGCUGAUGGGGUAUUUCAGAAGAGUCGUAGGUGCUCCUUUAUUUGGAGAGAGAUUAGCAUGCAUGUUCCUACUAUCUUGGCCAACAUCAAGUGGCUGAUCGGUGAUGGGUGUAAUGUGGAUCUUGUAGAGGACCCCUAGAUGGACACCCUCCCGGUGAGACUAUAGUCGACCACGAUCAACAUUGAGGCUGUAAGUGGUUUGCGGAUUUGCGAUCUCCUCUGCCUGGAUGGGACUGGGUGGGACUCUAGCCCGACUGGUCAUCUAUUUGGAGAGCACCUUGCAGAGAGACUGCAUUCUCUAGUAGUUCCUAGAUGCGAUGUCCCGGAUGUGAGGGUCUGGAGUACUUCUUGCAGUCUGAGGGUGGUGUUAAGGAUAUCUGUGACCUAUUCCAAAGUGAGCAAAGUCAGAGGCUAGAUUGUGCAUGGAUCUAGAGGUUUGGUCUUCAUCCGAGGAUUGCAUUAUUUUUGUGGAAGGUGACUUGGGGACGCCCACCGACAAAGGCCGUCCUGAGCAGACGAGACUGAGUAUUCCGUUGAUCUGCCCUGGGUAUGAGGUGGAGGAGUCUGCAGAACACAUGUUAUUCCAGUGUGAUCGAGCUGUGAGGGUGUGGAGGCCAUCUAACAUCCCGCCUGAGGCACUUCACUAGUCCAAUUCCUUUACCCAGGCUCUCAGGAGGUGGGCUAGUACGUCUCAGACUAGGUAUUUGGCCACUAGAGCAACUUAUGUUGCUUACCACAUUUGGCUUGCUCAGAAUACUUGGUUGUUUGGGGAGAGUAGUUCGACACCUAGGCUCGUCAUGGAGAGGAUCCGAGUGUAGGCUGCGGAGAUUACCCAUGCUGGUCUAUCGGACAGGCCUUUGAUAGCUCGGGGCGCUUGGAACUCUUUUUUUGCUCAUGUAGUGUCUCAAACAGUGUACUUUAUCUCGGAGCCCCUACCCCCGAAUUUUCUCAAAAUCAACUUUGAUGGAUGUGUUUUGGACGAUAGUAGAAGGGGUGGUGUGGGCUUCGUGAUCAGAAGCCUGGACUCUAGAGUAGUGGCGGCUAGAAGGAGCCAAAUCUUUGAUAUCUCUGUCUCUAGGACGAGCUGAGAGCUACUUGGGAUGGAAGGUGACUCGGCCACAGUGAUCGGUUGGAUCCGGAAGUAUCCUGGUAUUGCCGAGGGUCACCACCCUCUGCUUCGAGAUAUCUGGGGCAUAGCUAAUGGUGACACUGUCUUCAUGGUGAAGUAUGCCUUUAGCGAGGCCAACUAAGUUGCGGACUAAGUGGUCUUUUACGUUGCAAAUCACUCUGGAGGAGUUCUUUAGACAAACGAAGAGUAAGUGCCUCAGGUGCUUUGUGACUUAUCCCAUUUUGAUUUUUUUAGAUGUAUCCAUAUCAGACCGGUGCAAGUCAUCUAGCGUAGCCAAAAAAAAUGAAAAGGUACAUACAAAUAGUCAUUUUUGAAAGACAAAGAUGUAACAAGUCACACUUAGAGGAGAAAAUACGAGGUACUGUAACUGUUAUAAUGGUCAAUAACGAUAUCGAUGGAGGCUUGUUAUAAUAAAAUGAUGUCGUUAUUCUUACCUUGCCAUACAUAUGAGACAAUACCAGCUGCAAUUUUGUGGUCCCUUUUAGUACGUACACGCAUGAGUGUACUAAAAAUCUCGAUUUUUUUAAUCAAAAAUGAGAAAAACACCACGCGCUAUGAUUUUGGUCCCUUACUUUCAUCAUCAAAUCAUAAUGGACCACCAUAACUUAAUUAAAAUAAUAUGGGCAGUACCUUGUCAUGCAAAAGACCUUGGUCUAUGAUAUCAACAUCUGCAUGACAUCACUGCUUACAGAUUAUUAUCUAGGGCAGGCAUUGUGUGAAUUGCCCUUCUGACAGGACUCAAGAGCAUGCUUGAUAAAGUAAGGGAGUGAUGUUGUGAUUGGGAUCAGAUAGUGGAUAAGAUCAUUUGUAUAGGACUCAACCUUGCUCUCUUUCCAUCAUCACCAUAUGGUUCAAUUAAUUAAUGUCUUGUGUGGUGUGGUAUUUGUCAAUAUGCUUACAGGGAAAGUGCUCAAAGUGUGGAAUAUCUAAUGAUUGAUUAGGGGAUUAAUAAGAAAAUGAACUGCAAGUAAGUCUUCUAAAAGAAGGGGAAAAGAGGAGUCAAAUUUGAGUUUAGCUGGAGAAAAAGCAAGCUAUGUAGUCAUGUUGGUAGGACUCAUGGCUAUAUGAAUUGAAAAUUGUUGCUCUUAUUUGAUAGUAAUUGAAUAUAUUAGGAUCUGAUAUACAUUGACCCCUUCCCUUAGUGUUUAACUCUUAGAAUCUAGUGGUCAGUUGAUAGAAAAAUAAAAGAGAAAAGAAAAGAAGCAAAAGAUCGAACGAACUUCGGUCACACUUGGGUGAGAUAACUUUGCUCCUAGCUUUUCUUGUCAUAGAGAAACUGAAAAUCUAUAUUUGUAGCUAGCUUGCUUUCAACAGUAGCAUCAUUACGAUUGGUAGAAAUAAAGAAAACCAAAACAGAAAUUAGAAUGGAAUGGAAAUGAGAAUAUCUUGAAGCUGAUGGAACUAAUGUGGAAUAAGGGCUUCCAUGGCCACUUUGAAGUAAGCUUGAGUUUCAUUCGCUUUGAAAUUCUUGAAUUAAGCUCAAUUAAAAAAAAACUGAAUCAAGCUUAAUUUCAAUUUUCAAACAUGAAACUAAUUUCAAACCUAGCUUGAGUAGAUUGACAAUCUAGCUUUGAACUUGGAAGUCGCAAGCACAAUUUUAUAUAAAACCUCUAAUAGAUACAGUUGAUGUGUUAUCAAGCUUUUCAAUCCCUGUGAAUAAACCAAUAUUUUCUCUGUUCAUCUCCUCAAUAAAUAUUAUCAAGCUGCUUGAAAUAAGCUCAAGUUCGACUCUCUUUGCAAUUUGGCUACCAUUAGUCUCAACUAAACAAUAAAUAAAUCAAGCUUGAUCUCAACUUUCAAGCUAGAAAUGAUUUCAAACCAAGCUUGAUUAGAUGCCUGCCCAAUUAAACUUGGCUCAUUUACACCCCUAGCUUGGACAUCACCAUCAUUUACCGUCUUUCGCUGAUCUUAACCUUAACUUUCCAGAAAAAACUAUAUCUAAAACUUUAAUAGAUGUUGAUGUUGUCAAGCCUUUCAUUCCGCAAGAACCAACAAAUGUUUUCUCCAUCCAUCUCAUCUCCUUUGAUAUAUCAUUCAAGAAACAAAAGGAAUAGCAAUAAUACCGGUUGUUAACCUUUUUUUGGUUGCAACUGGAGACAAAAAGAGAGAUACAUAGGAGAUAAAAUAGAAAAUGAUCAAAGAACUUGGCUUUCAUUCCUUUUGUUCAUAAUUGAGAUACAUGCCUUUAUAUAGUGUAAAAGGAUAGGGCAAGAAUAUAACAUGUCAUCAACUAGUCUAACAUUUCUAUCUGCAUCCUAAAAUUGUUGUAUCAUUAUUUUUAUUUAGAUAAAUUAUAGUUUCGCGUCUUCAAGUUUAGGCAAAUUCUAGCAUACACCCUUAUAUUUAAAAGUUUUCAAAGUGACCUUUUAAGUUUCUAAACGGACCCAAAUUGGUCCGUUGGCUCGUCAACUAGCCAACAUCAUUUGCCCUCAAUUUCAAAUGACCAAAAUGCCCUCACUCUCUUUAGAUAUCUUCUAGGGCUCGUUUGGUUCACGGAAAACAUUUUUUCUCUUAGGAAUAUGAUUCCUAAAAAGUAGAUUCCUAGGAAGAAGAUGCCUGGAAAAGUACUUUUGACAUGUUUGGUUGACAAUGGAAAAGUGACAAAUUUUCAGAGUGCUUAUGUUUGGUUAACCAUCUAUUUUCCUGAAAAACUUAUGUAUAAUUCCUAUUAUACCCUUAAUAAAAAUUAGAUUUUUAAUGCCUCUUUAAUGCUGAAAGGCUUUUUAGGAAGAAAUAAAAAUGGAGUGAUUUCCGGCUCACGGAAAAGUAACUUUCCCAUGUUUCUCAUGGGAAAGUAACUUUUCCAUAUUUCUCGUGGAAAAGGUUUUUCCAUGAAACGUGAGAAUCAUAUUUCUCGUGGAAAUAUCUCUUCUUUGAAAACUCCAAUCAAACAAGAGGCAUCUCAUUACUUUUUCGUUGACCAUACUUUUUUCCUUCUUUUCCCGCAAACCAAACGAGCCCUUAAUGUCUUUUCCACUGUCCCAAUUUGGGACGUUCCGACCACAUCCUCCCUUUUUGGCAAUUAUUUUCAACCCACCGGCAGCUCGCCUCCUCGCUCGAAGUGAGAGAAAGAGAGGAGAAGAAAAGAAGAAUAACAGAAAAGAGGAAGAGGAAGAAGAAAGAGAAGGGAAGGAGAAAAGGAGGAGAAGGGUGUCGAUUGGUGGUGGUGGUGGUGGCGGUGGCUCGGCCAUGGGCGGCCAUGAGGGUUAUGAUAGAGCAGCUGAGAAAGAGAGAGGAUGAGGAAGCGAGGGGAAGGGAAGGUGGCUUCCUAGGGCCAAGACUCCAAUCCGACAUCCAUGGACUUCCAAUAGCAGCUCGACAUAAUCCUAACUAGAUAACAACUAGACAAAGAUAAAAUGAAAACUCUAACAUGUUGAUCAACAAGUUCAUUCAAUGAUGAUUCUUGACAAAAAUAUGGUUUUGGUCUUCACCAUUUAUCUUGGCAAAUAUAAACCAUUUAUCCUAUGAUAUCAACAUAUUUGGAGUCUUCCUGACUGUCUAAAAAUGAGUCCUCUAUUUGCUGCAUACUAAAAUGGACUUCAAAGCUAGUUAAUUUCAUUUUGAUUUAUAUCAGUUGAUACUUUGAUAUAUAUCUUGAUCAUUACAAUAUGUGAGUGCAUCUCAAUUUAAAUCACUCACCAAAAUAGCUAAAACAUCAGAAAUCCUUUGCAGGAAACUAGUGCAAGUAUCGAUAUAAAUCAAAAAUACAAGAUAAUUCCACAAUCAAAAAUUAUAGAUUGGUCAGGAACAUAUGAGAACACACAUUUUUAUAUAUGUACAAGAAAUCAAAGUUAGCAACAACUUUUCUAUUUAUUUACUUCAAUUUUUUUUUCCUUUUCCCAAUUUUGAUGAGAAUUUCAUUUACAUGCAUGAGAAGCCUUAAAUUUGCCGAAAAAUAUUUUCUUGCCCACUUUCAAAAGAAAAUAAAAUAUGUCUCGAUUUCCAAGCAAGUUUUCUAUUGGUGAUGAUGAUUAGACUGGGAAUCAAGUUUCCCUACAAUGAUAAUUAGAGGAGCUCACAUCAUCAAAACACUUUCACGUGCAAUCAUAGACUAAAAUAUUCUACGAAAAAGCAAAAGCCAAGACUGAAUACUACUACGCACCAACUAAAUCAAUAUGUAAGCUUUAAAAGAAAGGAGGUUCUUUGGAACUGUGCAUCACACUAAAACAAUGUCAGAGUCAAAGUUCAUGGCCGAAGGAGGAUUUGAUGUCAGCUUGAAGAAGAGUUUGGGUGGAAAAAGAGGAAUGGGAUAAUGGAGGAUCAAGGGAAUUUUAGUUCUAAAAAUAUUUAAAGGUCAACAACAAAGUUCAAUGUUCUCUCGUGGAAUUUGGACUUCCAAACAAAAAGAUCAAAUUCAAAGCCAACAUGCUGCAUCUCUUUUUUGACAUUUUCUAGCUUUGGUCUAGUUUUAAGUAAGCAUUGCCCCUUGAUCUCAGGGUACUACUAUUAUAUUCAAAGAUGAAAAGAAAGAAGAGAGCAGUUCAAGAAAGUCCAUUUCAAAAGGCGGCGGCCUGAAAUGUCCUAUUUGCAUUUGAAAACCAGAAUAGAAGCUCUUGCAAUAUCUAAAAAGACUGAUUCUAAAACGAAACUCUAAAGGAUAAACGGAUGGGUUCGAUGUAUACAACGAAUUUGAAGGUUGAACAUUGCAGUUUUCCUCAGAAAAGGUUCAGAGAAUGUAGACAUUCGCCUUAACUAAUAAAAAAAUGUGGAGAAUGAUUCUUAUGAAUGACGGUAAACUAUGUUACAUAAUUCUUGUUACCUUAAGAAAAGCCAAAUUGAAGAGCAUACAUAAAUGAAGCAGUGCUGAUGCUCGAUAUAGUGUAUNNNNNNNNNNNNNNNNNNNNNNNNNNNNNNNNNNUUUGAGAAGCAAAUUAUAUUUAAUCUUUUUAAUUCCAGGAGUAUAUUGAAGGUUUGACCUGAUAUUAUACAAGAGAACUACUAGUUUGUAUAGGAGAUAGUUGUGUUCUUUUCUUUUAUUGAUAUUCUUAAAAGUUUGUAAGUUGUGAAAACCCUGUUGAUCAAUCAAUAAAGAGAUUUUUUGAUUUCCAGGACAUUAUACAUCCUCAAAGUAGUGUCCAGGUGGUUCUAAUCUCAAGUUUUCCACAGACAGCUGAUCUCCUCUUUUUCCUUAUUUUCAUUUUUUUAUUACUGAAACCAUUUCCAUUUUAAUAAUCUCACCCAAUUCUUUUCCUCGAAAAAACAAACAAACAUGGUUGCAAAAUUCUCUGUUUACAAAGUCCAGGUACAUUUUUCUUUUCAUAAAGGUCCUUUUUUGGGAAAAAAAAAGUAUGGCUGAUAUCUCCCUUCCAAGCCAGUUUAUGAGUGAACAUACCUCUCUAGAGACGCCUCUCCUUAAGCUCGUGUUCCUCAUCUAUGCUGUUCAGGUUUUCAUGGAAUAGUAUAAUAUGGUUUAGUCAAACUUCUUACAAUAGAUCCUAGCACUUUUGCAAGAUUAUUUAAAACCUUUUAGAAUACUUAAAUGAAUCAUUUAAAACAUUUUUGCAGUACCGAAAAUGAUUAUUCUUAAAAUUUUCACUUCCCCUUCAUCUCUACUUCUAAUUUUACUAAAACUAUAUUCUAUAAAUUCCAUCUCGGUCCUACUUAACCUAAAACACUUGGAUUUUAAUGCACUCUUUAAAAAUUCUAACUUAUGAUUAAUUUGAAUUUUAAUUUCAUCUACCAAAACUAUAUCAUCCGCUAGUGGAAUGCACCAAAGAAUACAGUCCAGAAUAUAUUUAGUAAGCUCAACCAUAACUAGUACAAGAUGAUAAGGACUUAAAUCAAAUCUUUGGUGUAAACUUACUGGGACCGAAAAUUCACUCAUAUAACCACCGAUAGUUCUCAUACUAGUAUCCUUAAUCUCAUUAAUAACUAACAGAAAUUUCUUACUUUCUUAAAACACACACGAUACGGCUUAUCUAGAAACUCUAUCAUAUGCUUUCUACAUCCGAUCUUUUCUUUUCUAACAUAGCCCUAAUAGUUUAAUAGUAUACCGUCCAUCUAUGUUUUGUGAAUAGCCAGUCCCAAGCCCGGAGUCCAUAUAAGAAAAUCUUGUGUAGUCCAACUCAAUUAUUUCCUAAAUGCUCCAGUUCAAACUCGAGCUUGCUAUCACAGGGUCUGUAUUUGCCAGGGAAACAAGACAUGAAAGAUCUUUUGCUCAUGCCGGGUUUGGCAACAAAUAAGGUCCACUCUGACUUGCAGGAUUUGAUCCAGAGUCCAAGAAGCUGUUUUAUUUGAAAAAGUGUGAUAUAUGACCUUGGCAUUUGGCAGCAAGAUAGCGAGUGUUGCUUUUACAUCGCAUUAAAAUGGCUAUUCCAACACUGUGUACAGUUAGCAUUCCUCUGGAGUGAAUCUAGAUGCCACAGAGCUGUUCAUUUUUUUGUUUGCAAUGCUAGAUUGUUGAAUGAACAACAAAUUGCUAUCUACUAUAAUUGAUUAGUUGGCGUUAUAUGGUCAUUAAUUCUGGGUCAACCCAGACUAACAAAUCAGCCAAAUAGACCACUGGCAUAAAACAAGUUUUGUUAUGAUUAGUUUAUACAAAUGAAAGAUAUCAAAAAUGGAGGCUGCGAAAAAGAAGUCCAUUGAUCCAAUGGUCAAUGACUGAUCAGUAAGAGAGAAAGGAGGGUUAUCCCCUUUAUCUUUUAGGUUGCCUAUAGCUAUCAUUGUUGACAAUUUAGCUGACACUGAUCAAAGUACAAAGAAUCAUUACUUGUGCUAAAAUUUCUGGCCUGCGGUGGGUGAAGUGUAAACACAACCUCAGGCAUUGCUUUUUACAAUAGCAGAGAUGUCAGUCAUAAAUUCUUCAGCAAGACCAGUAUUAAGGUUUUAUAAGCUUCAUAAGCUGGUUGGCUUGAUAUGUCUAUCUUGUGAUCCUAUUUGAUUUCAAACCAUGUUGGUAUGAUGUUUACGACAUGUCUGAUUUGAAAUGAUAAGCAUAUAAGCUUGAGUAUCUCAUAGAGAGUAUUCGAACUGCUAUUCUGUGUAGACUUUAUAGUUUGUUACUCUCCAAUUUCAUUUAGCUAACUCAAUUAGUCAGCAGCAAGUCAAAUAACUAAAUAAUUAGAAUAACAAAUUAAGUAAUUACUAUAAGCUGUAUAAAAGGGUGGGGGUGGUGGAGUAAAAACUAUUUUGAGUUCUUUAAAUUUUGAAGUCUGAAUAGCCGAAGCAUUACUGGGUAAGAGAUGGGAAACAGCAGCAGUUUUGAAGCAUGUUUAUCUUUUACUAAUUUUUUGGAAUCUUUUCAAAGAAUAAACUUUCAACCAUCAUCUCAGCAACUCCAAUUGACUGUAUCACAAUUCACAAAGUUGAUGGCAAGUUAUCCUUUUACUAAGGACAGCAUCAGAACAAUCCAAGAGAUCACAAGAGAAUGUCCAACAAAUAGGUUAGACAAACCAAAACCAGAAGACUGACGUAAGAACCAAAGAAUGUCCCAGUAUUGCAACUGUACUUGAUGUGCAGAUAGACAAUAAGCCCAAAUGUAGGCUUCAGAUUUCAAAAGUUAAAGUGAACUCUAUAGCGAAAGUCAGCUAAAUCAUCCAAACUAUAUACAACCUCAUCCAGUAGUAACAUCACACAUGGACAGGAGGCACUCUUAGUCAUACAAUAAUAUCAAAAACUAUUCUUUCAGUGAAAACAAGGACACUUUGUGGGUCAGAUUGCAGUUGGUUUUGCAUAAUGGCAUAACGAAGUCAGCAUAAUCUGGAGUUCAUUGAGAAUUUUUAACAUAUAUAUUGCAUUUGAAUUGUCUGAUCCAAAUAUGCAAGAUAGUCAAUGAUAAAAUGACAAAAAAAAAAGAAGAGAUUUCUAUGUAAAUCCUCACCAUAUUUAUACAGAGCUAGAAAUACAAUUAUGAUACCAUAUGCAAGUAGAUUUGGCAUCACGGCACCACAUAAGCUGAGGCAGCAGUGCAGGGGAUAUGCUACACCAUCUCUUAAACAUUUCAUGGUUCUUCAUUAAAGAAAAGGCAGGAAGACACCACAAGAGGCCAAUGAUAAACAAUGGACACCAUAACUUUUUACAAGGGAGCAUGCAGCGGAUGCAAUCACACUGAAAGAAAAUUAUCUUAGUACUUGAACAACAAGAGUUUCAACUUCCACAUGCCAUGCACUCUUCUCUAUUAUCCAAGGAGCAAACAACCUGUGCCAUUUUGUCUUCUAGAUCAUCAUCCACUGGCUUGGGUUUCUGAAUCAUACAGCAAUACAAACAAUGAAAAUAUCACCCAGAAGAAAAGAGUGACCGUGGUAAAAAGGAACAAUUUGAAACUUGAACAUGAAAAGCCCAGAACUUUACCUUGAGCAUGGAGGUAUCCACAGUGAACUUGAUCGCAUCAGCAGCAGCCCGUGUACGCAAAUAAUACAUCCCAGUUUUUAGACCCUUCCAUCAAAAAGUUCAAAAAGUUACAACUGAGACUCCAUAAAACAUUUUCUGAUCUAAAAAUUAAUUAUAUUCUUCAAAUAUUAAAGGUGCAAGAUAAUUAAUGAAAAAUAGAAAGUUACACACCUACCUUUGACCAAGCAUAGAAAUGUAAGGAAGUCAGUUUCCCAAAGUUGGGUUGAUCCAUGUGGAUAUUCAGGCUCUGGCUCUGAUCAAUGUAGCAUCCACGAUCAAGGGCCAUGUCAACUAGUGUUCUUUGCUUGAUCUCCCACACAGUUCUAAUGUAGCAACAUUAACAUUAAUUAAUAGAAAAAAUAUCUUAGAUAUUGAGAGAGUUAUUUGGUGCAAAGUAUAUUACUUGUAAAUUGCCUUCAGAUGAUCUGGAAUUUCUGGAAUCCUGAGGACUGAGCCAUCCUCAUAAAUUAUUUUGUUUUUAAGGGCAGGUGACCACAGACCCAUUUCAGUCAAGUCAUGCAGGAGAUGUUUGUUCACUACAACAAAUUCUCCACUGAAAAAUGAAGUGUUAUCAUGGCAGGAUUUCAUAUUAUCUCAAAAUGCCAGUGCUGAUCAUGAAAAUAAAAUAAAAAAAAGGGCAUACCUUAGAACUCUUCGACUGUAGAUGUUGGAUGUGUAUGGCUCAAAACACUCAUUGUUGCCAAGAAUUUGGCUAGUUGAAGCAGUGGGCAUAGGAGCAACAAGAAGGGAGUUUCUCACUCCAUUCUUGGAAAUCAUGUCUCUUAGCAUAGGCCAAUCCCAUCGGUCAGAUGGAGUAACAUUCCACAUGUCAGGUUGAAGAAUUCCCUACACAUCAGCAUAAACAGCAAGCUUAUGAAUAUAGUAUGGGGUUUGUAUUUAGAAAUGUCCUUAACUAACAUUUGUAUAACAUCAGUAGGUAUAUAGAAUGAUUUCAGUUUAAAAAUUACUUAACAUACUGAGAUUAUUUUUUUAGAUUCUUAACCAAAAGACUAUAUCGACAUGCACUUUAUCUACUCAACAACUGAUGAAAGCAAACAUAAAUGCAUGCAUGUGCAGACAUGAUAAACAUAUGAAAAUGCAAAGAUAUGCAUGUGCCCAUGUCACCGUGUCUUGCACAAGCUUAACUGGAAAUCAGUGGCUGAAAGCAAAUGUACAACAUAUAAAUAAAUAUGUGAUUGAACAAAAACCUUGUUCAUUGGACUUCCUUGAUAAGUUUCGUAAGGGCCUUCUUUUGCAGCAAGCUCUGAAGAAGCUUUCAAAGCAUGGUAAUAUAUUGUCUCAAAUAUGUCCUUGUUCAGCUGCUGAGCCUGUAGUAACAAUUAAUUUAGUCACAAAGUAAGGUCACCAUUUAAAAACAAAAAAAAUAGGGAAGCGCUUAAAUCUCCACAAUCACCUCAGGUGAAUCAAAAGGCAUUCCAAGUAAGAUGAACGUAUCUGCCAAACCCUGAACCCCUAUGCCUAUUGGCCUAUGUCGUAGAUUUGAUAUCCGUGCAGAUUCAACUGGGUAAUAGUUAAUAUCAAUUAUUUUGUCCAGAUUGGCAGUAACUAUUGCAGUAACCUGUGAUGACAAGCACAUUAAAUCAUUCAAGCAUAGUCAUGGAUAAACCAUUGUCUCAAGCAUGCCUUUCAUGGACGCAAGCAAUCAAAACUCACCUCAGUAAGCUUGUCAAAGUCAAAAUAUCUAUUCCUUGAUCCACUGCUGCCAACAAGUUUUGAUGGAUGCGACUCUAUAGAAACCCCCUACAAAGGUAUUAUUAAAUUUUUUUUUAGAAUGCAGUAUGAUCAUGAAAAUCAAUGCUACUUUUUUCACUGAAACCAUGAGAAAAGAUCCAGAGAACAAACCUUCUCCCUAACAAAACGAGGUAGAGCAAUGGAUGCCAGAUUGCACACUGCAGUUUCAGUAGGACUUGUGAACUCAAUAAUCUCGGUGCAUAAGUUUGAAGACUUGAUGGUACCCAAAUUCUGUUGAUUACUUUUUCUAUUACAUGUGUCCUACAGAAUAACACCAAGGUCAAAUGCACUACCCAGGAAACAAAUUGUUGUUAUAGAGUAUCAGACUUAUUUUCAUUGAAUACCUUGAAAAGCAUGUAUGGUGUCCCAGUUUCUAUCUGGGACUUCAGGACUUCAAACCAGAGGUUCUGUGCUGCAACAACCUUCUUGGCCUUGCCCUGGAGCUCAUAAAGCAGGAAGAAGUGAUUAGUGAUUUUAAUCUAACUUUAUAUUUAAAUCUAAGAUUUGCAAGACCAAGUACCUCACUCUCGUACUUUGCGUACAGCUUUUCAAAUUCAUCACCCCAACAAUCAGCCAAUCCUGGAGCUUCAUUAGGGCAAAAUAAGGACCAUUGUCCAUUACUUUGGACCCUUUUCAUGAACAAAUCAGGAAUCCAGAGGGCAUAAAACAGAUCUCGAGCUCUGUGCUCUUCCUACAAGAAAUAAUAGAAAUUAAGUCACAGUUCACAGGUGGAAAUUCCAGGUUAUCCUUUAUGGAGCCACAUCACACAUGCAUGAUAAGAGCUGGUUUACUGCAUCGUGUAACUCUAAGCGGCAAUAGUAUAUUUUUGCGAGAGAUGUCAUUCAUUUAAUAAGAUAUCAAACUUGAAUAGUUUAUGACAAGCAUCGAAGUUUUCAAAUAAGUUGAUGUCUGGAGAGUAUGUCAAUGAGGUACUAAACUCUGAACAAGUUUAAUCAUAUGGAUGUAAUAAAAUUUUUGGUUCAUGGAAUGAAUUACAACAUGUGUAUUGGAACACAGUUAUCUUCACCGUGACUUCUCAAGAUGCAUUUAUGUUACAGAAGAUUCAAUUAGAAGAAUGUAAUAUUACCAAAUCAAUAACCUUUCUGACAAAUAUAACAAGGGAAGAAAUAAAGAACAUUAAAAAGCAAAAAUAUCUUAAAAGAAUAUCAAUAUUUUUAUUGUCUAAUACAGUUCAAGCAAAGACAUCAUGCAUCACUAUGUAGUUAUUCAUCAUAUUAUGGGGAUCUUCGUAUUCUUUGCAAAAUGAGAUUUAACAAAUAAGUUUGAUGCAUUCAAACUUGACUAUGAAGAUGGAGACAAAUAUGAGAUAGGGAUACAACAUGUAUAAGACAAAUCUUGAAGCACAGAGAGAGAGAGAGGAUGAUACAGCAAGGAUACAACAGUACAUCAUUAUAUUCUUUUGAGAAGAAUAUAUGUGGACAUAUGUAAGACACAUCCAUAAAGCAUAUGAACAUAAUCUAUUCUUCAUAGGAUAACAUCAAUAUCAUCCAUAUCCAUCGAUAACAUGAAAACUCAUAUUCUAAAAUUAGCUAUACAUCUCAUUCAUCUUUAAAAGGCUAACACUCAUCAGGAAACAAGAACAAAGAAUGAAAAGAAAAGAAAAGAAACCUGCCCUCUCAUACCUGUACAUAUCAAGUAGUAUCUUGGAUCUACCCAGAAAAUAUGCAAAUCCUUUUUGUAUUUGUUUUAGUAUCAGGAUUCUUAUAUAUUUGACACAUAUCCUAGUAGUAUCUAACAAGCAUCCUUAUCCAAAGCGUAGUAGAUACAUCAAGGGCGUGCAUCUUGAACUAUUUAUGUACCCAAGCUCAUGAAAAAUUAUGUUUGGGUGUGCUGAACAAGAAACAAGAGGAAAAAUCCAAGUUAACUUGCUAGUUAGCCAACUGGUUAGGUGAAGCAUUUGGAUUUGAUUCGGACUAAACUAACAACCCAAAUACAAUGGAAAAAUACUAUUCAAAUCCCUCCAAUGACACUGAGUUUUUUUCUACCCAGAAAAACCCUGAUUUCAUCAAUAGUGUUAAUAUUUUGAAACAGAACACGAGAAUUGAAGCACAGUACUAUUUUUUCAGAAAGAUGAGAAUUCUCAAUUACUACCAUCCACUAAUUUAGAACAGAUCCAAAGGGAAAAGAGGAACCUAUGGAAGUUUUCAUGUGUAGGAAACACAUAAAAUUCCUUCAUGAAUAAAAGAUACUACAUAAAGCCAUGAGUUAAAGAGUAUCAGCCACAUUUCAUCUUCCAUCCACUAUCUCAUGUAAUGAAUAAGUAUCAAAAUAAUGUUAAAAUAGAAGGAAGAAAGAUUAACUGAAUUCCAAAAAAAAAAAAUACAGUAAAAAGUUGUGUGAACAAACAGUGGUACUUGAGAAGUUAUGAACAAUACCUUUCCAUGAUUCUUUCUAAGAUCAAGGAAUUCAAAAAUAUCAGCAUGCCAAGGCUCCAAAUACACCGCAAAUGCACCUAGGCGUGAAAUGAAGUUCAGCAAUCUAAAAUCAUACCAAACUACGAGCUAAGUGAAAGUCAUUUACUGACUAGUAACCAAAUUACCUUUUCUCUUGCCACCCCCUUGAUCAACAUAACGAGCAGUAUCAUUAAAAACCCUCAACAUUGGAACAAUGCCAUUAGAUGUCCCAUUUGUCCCACGGAUAUAACUACCAGUUGCACGAAUAUUGUGAGCAGAUAUGCCAAUUCCUCCAGCAGAUUUGCUUAUAACAGCACAUUCCUUUAAAGUAUCAUAUAUUCCCUCAAUGCUAUCAUCUUUCAUGCAAACCAAGAAGCAGCUGCUUAACUGAAAAUUUUCAUCAAGAUAUAUAAAUAAACAGAUUACAGCAAGCUUUAAUUUGUGAAAAAUAUGAGUUUAGCUUAUAAUACUUGAGGCCUAGGAGUCCCUGAAUUAAACAAGGUAGGUGAUGCAUGAGUGAACCACCGCUGAGACAUCAAAUGAUAUGUUCUGAUUGCAGAGUCAAUAUCAUCCUUGUGGAUUCCAACAGCAACUCUCAUCAGCAUGUGCUGCGGCCUUUCUACUACUUUUCCAGAAACUUUUAAGAGAUAGGACCUCUCGAGAGUUUUAAAUCCAAAGUAGUCAUAAUCGAAAUCUCGGUCAUAAAUUAUCUCACUGUCCAAACGAGCAGCAUUCUGAAAUUGAUACAAUUACAAGAAAUUACUCCAACUUAUAUCAUAGAUUUUUACAAUAGCUAAUAGAAAUGUAACUGGCAAGCAUUUGGAUGAUUAAUAAUCACAUGUAACAUUUUGCAGUAGAGUACAUUUUGAUCAUACUGUAGGUCAAGUUAAUGCUUUUGCCAUUAUUCCAUGCUUUGAAAUCCGUACUCUCGGAUGGUAGUGUAGCUAUGGCCGCUCUUAUUCCCACGGCAAGACCUUUACCACUGCAGGGUCAUCUUCCAGUUACUAUUACCCACUGGCGGGGGUCGUAAAGCCAAGUUACUUUUACCCACUGGCGAGGGUCAUAUGCCUAGUUACUGUUACCCAUUGGCGGGGGUCAUACAUAGCAAUCUGAGAGUUCUUAAAACUUAAUUGCUCAGACACACAGAGAUAGAGAGAGAGAGAGAGUGGAAAACUCUCUGUUUGAAUAACUUGAUAACUGCUGGAAUCAUCAAAAACUCUAGGCACUCAACCAUAUGUAAUCAAAUAUAAUACGAGAAAUGUCUAAAAUCUAAUUCAUACAAAAUCAUCAAUUAAUUAAAGAAACCAAGACAUGCUAAGCCAGAAUCAUGAAUGACAAUUAUGCCAUCACACAGGAUUAUUACAACUGAAUAUUAGAGCAUAGACAGUGCAGCUAUAAAGGUGGCACAUCUUAAUUGCAACAUAACGAUAACUGUUCCAACCACCAACAAGCUUUAAACCUUUGGCUUUAAGAAGGUAGCUUAAUAAAACAAAAUAAUGGCACUGGGUAAAGACUAUCAGUUGGAUUACUACAGGAUACGAAAAUCAACAAAAAAAAUGAUAAAUUUCAUUGAGGUCAAAGCUAGAUCACCUUCAUGAUGAUCUCAUAAACAUCAUCAGCAAUCAAAGAGGCCUCCUGCCCAGAUCUCUCAUUGAUGUGAUUGUACAUCAUCUUGACCCUGAAACCACAUUUAUCAUCAACAAAACCCCAAAUCCAAGAAAUUUUGGAAACAAAACAAACCAAAAUUAAACAGCCAAAAAAGGGAUAGACCAUUACGUCUCUGAGAACGACUUCUUCGUGUUCUUGUGAAGAUUCGAGACUGCAAUCCUAGCGGCAAGCUGGAAGAAAGGGGAAAAAAAAGAAGCAACCUUGGCAAUCGGAACAAAGAGAUAAAACAGUAAUACAUCCCACAUCAUUGGAUAGAUGGGAGAAAAAGGAAUACCGAGGCGUAGUCGGGGUGGCUAGCAGUCAUGGCGGCAGCGGUCUCGGCGGCGAGCUCGUCAAGUUGGCUGGUGGUGACGCCCUUGUAGACCCCGGCGCAUACCUUCUGGGCCACAAGCACGGGAUCGCAGUGCUCCGGGCUCAGGCCGUAGCUCAGCUUCUUAAGCCUCGCUGUGAUCUUGUCGAAGUGGACGGCCUCCCGCCGCCCGUCCCUCUUCACCACAUACAUCUCGAAUCCUCCGGCUAUAGAAGACUUGGAGGGGUUUUGGAUUAGGCUUUCUCCUCGGUGAGGAAUUCCGUCGAACAGAUAGACGAUAAGGAAAUAGGGGAGAGCAAGCGAUGGUAUCGGGAGGGGAGAGCGUAGAAUAGAAGGGGGGUUUAAAUGGAGUUGACGGGAAGAUUUAAAAUUAGGGUCUGGUUUGGCGGACCGCGGGCUUCUUCUGGGAGAAGCUUCUGAAAUUUUGGCGCCCAGGCGCGUUUGAGAAUCCUCCCUCCAUUUGUAAGUAACGUGCGCUCGACGGAGGAGAAAAAUAUUAAAUAAAAAAUUACGUAUACGCUCCUGUAUAGAUCCUAAAUAAUUGUUAAGUCCAUUAUAUAUUUAUAUACCAGUUUCAUAUAGAUGUGGCAAAUGAUUUGCAGUCUUUAAUGCACUACUGUGCCUGAGAAACAUUAUUUACAGAUCCCUGGUUAGGUCAAGAUUAUUUUUAGGUUUACCGCCGGGUGUUGCAUAUAGAUACGGCAUUUGAUUGUCCUUACAUGCAAAUAUGUUAAAAAGAAACUUAACGUUAGGUCCUUGUGUAAUUAGUGGAUUAGUUGAGUUCCACUAUUUACUAGUAUGCUGCCAUGUGUACAUGAUAUUUGCUGAAGUAAACUGGCCUAUAUGUUCUUGGGUAAAUUUUAAAGUAUUCCCUUGAAAAAUAAUUACUUUUGUUAUGUUAAAUAUACUAUUUUAAGUAAACUAUAUUUUGAGGGUAUACAAAAGAAUAUCCUUGUCUUCUUAGAGUGAUGACCAUCUCUUGAUUCCUAGGGCACCAUCACAUUUGCCUAACAACAAUGAGGUUGGAUCCUCUUUAGUUCAUAUGUUAAUGCUGGUUUUCCAAUCAUGGCUAUUCAUAAUUAGAACAAUAGACAUGCUUGUGUUUGUAGGGCUCAUCCGAUCGCAACUGUUAUCAUCAUGGGUGGUUAUAAUUGGAAAACCGAUCCUUCCAAUUCAUGCAUGAAUAGGUGAGAAUUUUGACUGUACUGUAAUCUAUUCGACCGACAUUGCUACAAAAGAUGAAAACCUUGGUAAUGUCAUCUUCACAUUCUUGCCAUCUUCAAAUGGUGACAUAAUAACAAAGAAAUGAACUUUGGGGGUGGUGCGAUUGAUUAGGGCUUUUUUUUUAAAACUGAAACUGAAAACUGAAAACUUUCCAGAUCUAGUUAAUGUGAUUCAUUAAACACAGUUGCAACAACGAAAGAUUUGAAAGAGGUGAUCAUGAGAAAUUACUUCUAUUGCUACCGCCCAUCUCUCUCUCUCUCUCUUUAGCAGAAUACUGAUACUGCUGCUAUCACCAUGGUUGCUCUGAGUAUCAUCUAUCACCAUUCACUGCUGCUCUAAACAUCAAGGUAUUCUUCCAAUAUAGCAUGCAUAGUUAUUCUUGCAGUCCUUAAGUGGGUAGGGCGAGGCAGCUGCAAACCAAGGCCUUUUUUUUGGACUUUCACUGAGAACUAGAUGGAGGAAAGUGUCUUCACAAACAGCACCAGAUAGCCAAUGAGGGGACUCCUGGAUUCAUCGUUUCCUCAAAAUUUUGAGUAAAUUGUUUUGCUUAACGUCCUAAGCUCAAAUCAUUUUGUUAAAAUUCAGAAUCAUUAGUAUAAACUUUGGGAAUAUAAAAUUGUUAUCCGCCGAUCAGUACACACAGGAAUAAAGCAUCAGAUGUCAUUCGGCAUAUGAGAACUGAAAUUCAGAGAACUGUUCUUCAAUACUUUGGCAAUACGAUGAAAAAAUUUCAAAUCCCCCCCAUGCAAAAGCAAAAUAAUAGCGUAUAAUGUCAUGGAUGCAACACGAACUGUCACUUAUCUCAGACAAAGACCAGCAAGUCAGCAACUUGCAAAUUUGAGAUAUCCCGCAUCCUUGAGGCAAAGGAUAUCAUCAAAGGACAAGAAGAGACCAACAAAUGGAAUUCCUUAGCAUCCAGAGACAACCUAUUUCAUGUACUUUAAUUUUGGAUAAAAGAGGAGGUAAAAAAUAUGGAUAACAUCGGACAUCCUACUACAACAGUGCUUUACAGAAAGAAUAUGCCACAAUUCAGAGAAUCCACAGAUCAAAGUAUAACAUAAACAGCAAAAUAGAAAAAGAAAACGAAAAAAAGAAGCAGCCAGCUAGGGCUUUCAAAUUCCUUCACUUCUUCAACUGAACUAAACAUCAACACAUACAUGCCCUACUGCAAGAACAAAUGAAGCUUGUUACACCUAAAAGACCAGUUCAAGUGCAGAAGCCCUCCUGCCUUUUCUUUCUUUCCCUUCAUUUUUUUUUCCCUUUUCUUCCUUUUAUAGGAUCCGAGCAUCUGAUAGUAUCCCAGCUUUUCACAGUAUAAAUAGGUGUAUGACUGACUAACGUGCAUCCUUUUGUAAUGGCACUCCACCUUCAGUGGCGGAAGAACUGGUUGCCAUAACGUCCGGUAAGAUAUCCCAGUUCCUGCUUGUCCUACCCAAGCUCGAGUCCCUCACCUCGCUUCUACUAACCGGAGCUUGAGUGUCUGGAUCUAUCACAAGUUCGGACUCUGAGAGAACACUGUGGAUCCCAUUGCUGUUUCUGCCACCCAUCUCCUCAUCUACCUCUUCAUAAUUACGACGCUGGGAGAUCUUCAAUAGAUCCCCACCUAACUCAAGAUCAUCUUCGACUUUUGCACGCGGGCCACCAGCUGGUUCAUCUUCUACCUCCCUAGCACGGCUGAUUGUGGGAGGUCUUGCAACUUCUUCCUGUACAUAGGCUCGAAAGUUGUUUCUAGAUGGUUUGAUCUUUGUGCAGAAAACUUCUAAGAAGUUAUUCAGACAACCCAGGUUAUAGACAUUGGACCUGUUGUCUGCUCUGUAUCGGAAAUUCUCAUAGGUUGUCUGCAGAACAGAAAACUGGUUAAUGUACAUUUUAAGCUGAGAAAAAGCACAAUGCAAUGCAGAUGGAAAAGGCACAAUGCAUCCGCUGUACAAGAGCAUGAUUGUUUAAUGCAAAAAUUAUGUGAAGUCGUCCAAGAUGCAAUAUGAAAAACGUGUAUUGUUAAAACCAACAUUACAAAAUUUUGCGAUUCUUGCGUCAAUUGAUCUGUUUUCCUUUCUUAAAAUAAUUUCAAUAAAAGAAACUCUAAGUUAACAGAGAUAUACCUCAACAUAUUUUAUGGUCCUAAUGGUUUUAUGUGCCACCUUAUCAUAAUUCUACUUAAACUUUCUACCGAUGCUAAUAUUUUAAUGGUGCAUCAUAUUGUCUGCAUAUCAUAAUCAAAACUCAAGUAUCUAUACUUAUCAAACAAACUGCAGAGAUACUAGAAAACUAAUAAAUAAAUAAAUAACAUGCAAUGAACCCAAGCAAGCAGGAAGAAAGGGAUUCACCUGGUUAGUACCAAUAAGGUAUAAAUGAAAUCCAGUGAGACCACCAACAAACCACAGGGAAAUGAAGCAAUAGAUCAUCAGUAUCAGGGACGCAGGAGACUUUUUGAUUGCCUUCCAUACUGUAGGAUAAUCGUUAUCCAUAAGAAACUUGAUGUACAGUGCAGACAUUGCAAACACAUAGAUGCAGAGAAGAGUUGAGGAAGAAACGAAAAAGAAAAAGUAUCGAUAAUUGCGCUGCACAAAGAUAAACCCACAAGAUUAGCAGACUUAUAAAUAAGAACUUGAUAGAUUUGAUUAUAUGUAAAGUUAUACACCACUACAAAGCAUGAGAAGAAAAUAAGACAAAAUAAGGACAGAAAAGUUGCUUAAGUGCAAGAAUCAUGAAGGAGAUAAAUACAAUUAUACACGAGCAAAUUAGAAAUCAAAAGACAAUAAUGGAAGAAAUAUAUUACGAAACCCUAGAAUCAAAAUUCCAACCGAUACUAGGACCGUGCACGGGGCAACUAGGCCUCUUUAUUUUUUUCAGAUUUUGAACUGAAGUUGGCAAAGGAUGUGUGCCGACUUCAAUUCAAAAUCCGAAAAAUUGAAAAAAAAAAAACACCCACUCUCCCCUAUUCCAACAUGAAGAGCAGGAUAGGGAGGGGGGCGGUAGCACUAAAAAGAGUAGGUUUUUUUUUUUUUUUGGGGGGGGGGGGGAGUAUAGGNNNNNNNNNNNNNNNNNNNNAGUAUAGGAAGGGAGGGAGAGAAAAGGAAAGGGAGGGAGAGAAAGAGGAAGAAGGAGAAAAAGAGGGCUCAAAAGCCCUCAUCUUCAGAGGUGGGGGGCUCAAAACCCUAACCCUAACCCUGUGUGUCAAGGAGAGAGGGAGAGGGGGGGUGGGGGUGAGGACCCAUACCUUUGACGCCUCUCACCAUCAAGGUCCAAGCACAGGGGGAGGCAAAGUUCUCGAGCUCGAGGGAGAAAUGAUAAUGCGAAAAGCUAGGUGGAGGCUAGGAACAAUCGAAACAUAGAAGGAUUAUAUCGAACUGAAUUAAUUGUUUGAAUCGUGCCGACAGCCGACUGGUCCAGUUUAGUAUGCCCCAAACCGGCCGGUUUGACAUAAUUUUGCAUUCCUUGCCCAAAAUGGUCAUGUACAUAAUAAAUCAGGUCAUAUAAUUCUCAAGAGGUACAAAAUUAGGUGAUAAUUUCCAUAAGACAUCAGACAUAGCACCAUAUCAAUAUCAAUUAUGGACGCUAUGCAUAAAGCACAUAAGGAAAUGUCAAAUUUGCAGCACUAGCACAUCUCAAAAACAAAGGACCAAGUUGAUAAGAGGCAGGGUAAAGCUGACUAAAGCUGACAACAGGCUUUAAAAGGUAAAGCAGGAUAAGAUUGAACAAAAGGAACUGAAAGGCCUCAAUGGAUCAUAUAAAACCAGAUAACCCAAGUGGAGGGCUUGGAAGCUCAAUGGAGAUGCACUAUAGUGCAGUCUGCAGAAGAAGAUAACAUUCCUCAGAUAACAAGAUGGCACCUAAUCACUUCUUUAUCUAAAACAAAAAUUAUACCUUCUACUUUUAUGAAGUCAACAACUGCAAUUUUCUGUUUCCUGGCAUGUUUCCAUAGGUCCACUGAAUUCACAAAAAUAUAAACUGUAGAUUGACCAACAUCUCAGGGACCAUAGAGUUCAAGGAGAGUAGCGACAAAGGAUGCUGGAUGGCGAUCAAACACAUGAAUGGACACAGCUUUUACAUACAUGUCUAUGUCCAUGGCAUGAACACAAAACUCGUGUAGUUAAUGUCCGAUAUGCCUCAUUUGGUAAGAACAAUGUUUUACAAAUCAAAAACAACUUAUGCCGCUCAAGUUCAAUGGAGUUUGGUAUCAUGCAUAUUACAAUUGUGUUAAGAAAUCAGAAGAAAAAUUCAUCAAGAUUUAUAAAUUCAAAAUCAGAAGAACACAAAGAUACAGGGGAAAGAUCUUUUGUAUAUCAUGAGAAGGAACCAACAUUUUUAGCUUAGCAGGACUAAAAUAAACAUUCUUAGAAAUCAUCUAUGUUUAUCUUUAUAUUUAUUCAAUUUAGGAUUUUGUUUCGAAUAUGCGGAAUCAUUUUCUUUGAAUUGACUUUCUAGUAGAUAGCUACCAUGAAAGUAAAUAAAUACUGGGGCUCAAUGAAUUGCAUAUGUGCUCUAGGACUCAAUUUGGGAGAUCUUCUAGAAAAAUUAGGAAAUAUCAGCUAAAUAAUAUAAUUGAUUUUAAGCCCAUAAAUAAAUGAAAAAAAUAUUUGGAUAAUUAACUAAUAUGAUGGAUAGCACCAUAAUUCUUCAAACAAAUUACCGGUAACAUAUUUAAUAUAGCCUCGCAUACUUUUUUAUAUAUUUGAGCAUAAGCUUAAAAUGGGAUCAAGAAAGUGCUUGAGUGUAAGCUGACAUGAAUAAAAGUUUUAUGAGAAUAUAUGAAAAUGCUGCUAGUAACACUGAGGGAAGCAACUAUGUACCCAAAAGCUGACAAAUUGUUGACCCCGGGCCUGAUGGUUGUGGUUACGAUUAUCAUUUUGUGUUUUUAUUACAGUAAUCAUACAUAUUGCAAUAUUAAAACAGCAUUAAUGCAUAUAUCAAAACCCAGCAUAAUGCAAUAAUUUCUAGGAUAUGCUUUGAGAAAAACACCCUUAAAAGUUAAAUAACUGUUGAAGUGGAAUCUUAUAAUCUACAAAGUGUGUAACUACAACACGUAUCAUGCAUUUUUGGUAAUAAUACUAAUUGUCCAUCUAACUAACUAAACAAAAUACAAGUUCAAAACAACUGCAAACAUAUUUUGUAAAAGAAAAAUGUUCCAUUAGGUGUUAAAGGUAAGCAAUCAACUUGAUCAAUAUGAUGGACUUGUACCACAUGCUUACCAUAUUUUUGCUUGUUUCAAUGGCCAAAGAAGUAAAGCAAGUGUUUUGUACAUUUUCAUGAUAAAAAGGUGAAUACAUCAAGUCAUGCAACGUACCUGUCCAAUGCAUUGUCCCACCCAGGGGCAGUGAUGAUCAAAGCGUUCCACACAAUUAUUGCAUAUGGAGCAGUGAGAACAACGUGGAGGGCGAUAAACCAUACAGGUAUCGCAAUAUUUUACUUUCACAGCCUUUCCAUGAACCAUUACUUCUUUAAUGCGGGGAAAUUGUAGACUGGGUGUAUGCCUCCCACCAACCUCAGAAGUAUCAUAAGAGAAUUCCUCUUCUGGAGGGUGUGAAGCACGUGGUACAAUACCGGGAUCUCGAGCUGAAGUCACCAGCAGCAGUAACAAAAUCUAGACAAGAGAAUUUGGCAAAAAUUCACAAUAUGAUUUUGUGUAUGUGUGGGUUUUACCACAAAAGUUCAAGAUUAAUAUUACGUGUGCAAUAAUAUGGAGGAAUGUUCCCAUUAUCAAUGUUUGAGUUUGAAAAAGACACAAUGCUAGUUCUAGUAAAAGGCAUACUAUUUCUGAUACUCUAUCUAAAAAAAUAUAUUUUAUGAUGGAAAUUGUUGCUAAAAUUCUUAAAAAGCUCCAGUAAGGCAUGCAUAUAUGUGUCAAAAGAUGAAAAGCUAUUAAAAAAGAAAAAUCUAUAAAGAUUUAAUGAAAUUGUCUCAUGAUCAAGAAGAUUCACCAAUCAAACGUAAUGCAUACAAGAACUAGCUGAGGAUCAAAUGAUACCGACUAUAAAAUAAAUUUUCAAACUCAGAAUAACUAUUGAGUAUGCAAAUGAGACAAUAAAUGAAGGCCACAAGCUAUUAUUGAUAGUGAAAUGAAGGAAUUUUGAUAAUAAACCAUACAAAGAGAAAUCUUUUUGUGUUACUCGAGAAAUGAAUUGUUGAGGUUACAGGACUGCAAAAUGCACUACAACAAUUCAAAUGCUUCACAGACAAAAAAAAUAGAUUCACAAUUGGGGAUUUUGCAUUAAAAAACCACUUAAUCAUUGAUUUUGCAAGAAAAGAUUUAUUAUCUUUCUUUGCAAAAUGAUACAUAUUUAGGCAUCCCCAGACUAUUUUGUCCAUGGUUCUAAGUAGGUGCAAGACAGUAGUCAAAAUAAAUGUGCAUCAGAUACUUAAAAUACAUGUAUCAGGUGUUUAGUAAUUGGGUUUCAGAAACUCAGUCGAUUCGUAUAAAAGUGUAUUGCUCUGCAAAAAAUAUUAAUCCAACCUUUUAUUGCAACUGAAUAAUAAGUGGAUUUUUUAUGCCAAAUUCACUUCAUAAUUAGAUUUAACUACGUGAUUCUCUUACUUUUCGAUUAGUGUUAAAAAAGAAGAUAAGGGAGACAAUGCUGUUAACCUGAAAUUUAAAGAUGCUGCUCAUAUUUCAUGUUUAGCUGCAAUGCAAGAACACCUUGGCCUAGGCAGAAGCUGCAUAUUUUAUGAGUGUACAUGUACUCAGGUAAGAGUUUUAUUGAUCUCUCAACAAGAAAGAAUUACGAACCAUAACCAAAACCAAUAUACAACAAGGGGCAUCCCAUCAGUUUGGUAAAUUAGUACAAUCUCACUCAUUAAAUGGAAAAGAAAAAGAAAAACUAAUGGUCUGCUCACUUUGUAAUGAGAAAAACACAAACAUCAUGUUCAACAAAGAUAAGACGAUUAUUUGUUUAUUUUAUUAAUACUGGUUAGCAUUCAGGCAUUAUAAGGCAACUGGCUAUGAAGCUUCGCAUGAAAAGCAAUGCCUUAAAGUUCUGGGUUUCAAAUGGGCAAAGAGUACUAACGUGGAUUGUAAAGGCUAUUGCAACCACCAAGACCGCAUAUCCUGCAUUAUAGGGAUGAAACUUGUGGAGAAGAUGUCUCCCAACAAAGACACAGAAGAUAACAACGGGAACAACGAUGAGCGAAAUAGUGAUAAACAGAGACCUAGCAUCAGGACCAAAUAUCAGCCUUCCCCUGAAGAUGAAUACCUGCAGAAGAAAAACAUACAAGUUAAACAUCUGUUAAUUAAGGAUGAAAAGGUCAUCAUAACUCUUUCCACGGGUCAUAAGCUGCUAUUAAAUCUUUUACAUCAUUAGCUACUCUAUAAUAUACUAAUGUGUUUCAAAUAUCAUUUCCAAACGAAUGCAUGACAUUUUGAAAUCAUAAUAUGAGGGGAACAAGUGAUAUAUCAAGUGGUGACUUCAAAAUAGCAACCAAUCAUAUUUCAUGCUCAACCCUCUGGCAUGCUAAAAUCAUGACAACCACCAAAGAACAGCAUUGCACCAAAAGUUCAAGACAUGAUAGAAAAGCAAUUAGGCAGACAUUGCUAGAUGUUAUAGUGUUACAUGUGGCAGAGCAUGAAAGGCCAAGAUAAUCACAAUAACAUGUCAGGUAGAAAAAUGACAAAAGAUAGAAAGCAGUUUUAAGGUUAAAGCUCUUCCAUAUAACAAGCACCACUUAGAUGAAACAGCUUUACUGAAUAAAAGGAUUAAAAGUCACAGAUAUGACCCAUGACCAACUUUCAGAAAAAAAGGAGCCAGUUAAGUGUGUCAUAUGUUAGAUCUUCAAAGGAAAAAAUACACAGAAAUUCGUCCAUUUGUGGUUCCAAUAUAAAAGUAAACAUUUAUAAGAUAAAUGAAGCAAUUUGAAACACAUCGACAAGAUAAUUUUUCAGAGCUCAACUCAUAAUUGUGACCACAGAUGCAAUAAAAAUUAUAAGAAAGUAAUGCACUUCAAGAUAAUUCAAAAGCUAAGUAUAUACAAAUACAAAGGACUCACAUCCUGCAGACCGAGAAACCAUGCUAAAGCAGAUGCGAUACCAUGUCCCCAUGUGAAGAAGGGGGAGGGGUGAAAAAUUGUUAGUAAUAUGAGGUUCAUAACAUGAACAGUAGAGGUGGUUGGAUCAGAUGGAACUGGAUCAGAUUACAGAUCAUAAAUUCUUUCUUUUUCAAUAUCUUUUUCUAACAAAACAGGGAAAAAGCUAUAAGAAGAAUAAAAUUGCAAAUGAUCAAUGAGUAAGAAACCAUUGGACACAAUAAGUUCUCUAGAGACCAUUUUUUAAUUAAUUAUUCAAUAUAGUUUAUUCCUAAAAAAUCAUUCAAUAUAGUUAUAUGGCAUUAUUUAAGUUUAUAAGGUAAAUGUUAAUCAAUGUCUUCUCAAUUAUUGAAUUUUUUUCAAUUAUUCCCAAUAUUGAAUGGUUCUUUAAAUUAUUCUUGAUAACCAAACUAAUUGGUAACUAUUUAAUUAUUCACAAUUUAUUCAUGGAUUUUAUCAUUUAUUCAUUAAUGUUGGUGCCCCCUUAUAAAUGAAUAAAUAAAUAAAUAAAAUCAUCUCCAUGCUGUAUUAAGGAACUCAAGCAUAGAGCCCAUGGCAUGUACUUGCAAUUUAUGCUCAACCUUAUAUAAACAAUGAGACAGUAUGCAAGUGGCAAGCUCUUGAAUCAUAUAUGGCAUGUCUAAAAUGUAAUAUAUACACAGCAGACAAUUAUUUACAAAAAAGGAAGACCUCAAGUUAAUGUGAGUCAUACAUUUACCACAAGAAAGAUGGAUUGAUCCCAAGGAACAUCAUAGAUCCCUUGUAGAAAAGGGAAAGCAAACAAAUGUACUAACAUGCAGGGGUGGAACUAGGAUUCAAUUUUAGAGGGGGCCAAGUUUUUGUGGAAAAAAAUGUCAUUAUUGAUACAAUUGACUAAAAGGAUUGAGUCUUUUGUAUUUGAUUUCCCUAUACAAUGCUACUAGCAUUUUAAUAAUUUCAGCAAUAUCAUAUGUUAAAAGAAAAAUACCAUUCUUGUGCAAAUAACAUCAACAACCCACAUAAUAUUUUCUUAUUAAAGUAUUCCAUAAAUCAGAAUAUCCAAAUAAGGACUAAAAUGCACGUACCAUCUAUUACAAAAUAAAAACUUUAUAGGCUGAUUGAGAACUAUAAAAAUGAAAAAAAUGGUCUCAUAUUCUUAUGAUAUCAAACAAGACGGGUUUCUUCUCUACAUAGGAGGGGAGACUAGCCUGGCAAUAAGGGCAACAAAGAAAAUGGAAAAAGAGGUGCAAAUUUGGGAGAAAAAAUUGCUACCAAGGUAAACUAUGAAAGCCACUUCAUAUUUAAAUUUCUUUCAAGCAGAUUUUUAUGGAAAACAAUGUCCAAGUGAUAUUGGAACUCACUAUGGGAAAUUAUUUUCUUUUUCAAAGCAAAUCUUUUGAAAUUUUAGGGUGUUUCAAGAGAGCAUGGUCAGUCUUGUGCAGGUUGAGAAGCACAUGGGGGGCCAAUGGAUAUCUUUUGAAAUUUUAGGGGGGCACGUGUUAAAGAAUGGAGGGGCCAAGCAAUACGAUAAGAAAAAUUUACAAGAAAUUUCUGGAGGCCACGUAUUAUAGAAUGGAGAGGCCAAGCAAUACGAUGAGAAAAAAAUACUAGAAAUUUCUGCCCUUGCCCCCCCCCCCCCUUUCCCUCCCUUCCUUCAAAAAAAAAAAAAGGCACCAAGCUGCCAACAUGGCUCUGCCCCUGCUAACAUGGCACAACUAUGACAAAUGCCUAGAUGAGAGAUAACCAAGACCUUGAUUUAAAAGAUGAGUUAAGAUAAUGCUUGCAGGCAAGAUCAUAAGAGUUUCCCAAAUAACAAAAAGCACCAAAAAUGACAGAUACAUAUAAAUUGCGAACAAGACUACUGACAGAAUUCGGAAGCAAGUGAGAUAGAAUGAUAUGUAGAAAAACAUCAUGGAGCAUAAUCAGCAUCUAUACAUGUGGCAUGGUGACCCACUGGGAGUUGAAGGCACAGUCCAACCUAAGAAGAAAGCUUUCAGACAACAGUAUGAUAUGAUAACGACAAAUGUCAUGACUAUAAAUGGUUUACACUGAAUGGCAUUGGAAGCAAUACAGAUCAUAGACUCAAAUAAACCAAUCGGAAAGAUCAUGAUAUAUACAUUUUCAUCUAGUCUUAGAUUGAUUAAUAUCUGAAAGAUAUUGCGAAACGAACUCUUUCAGUAAGCUGAACUACAAAUCAAUUUGAGCCACCUAAAAAGUUACUAUUAAGAGGAACUCUCAUAACUCAAGUAAAAGCCUACAGUCUGGGAUGUAAUUCAGACUAAAUUGUAACUUCUAGCCCAAGAACAAAAACAAAUUAUAAACCCACAAAAAAUUUUAGAGGUUAAAAGAAAAAACUACAACAAUUACAGCCUCCGAAUACAAUUUUAGCUCUAUGAUGGAUCCUAAUGAAGCUACAAAUCUACUUCAAUAUCUCAAGAACUCCUAAUCCUAUCUCUUUGGGUGUCUGAUAGAGAACUAGAGAGAAAAAAAUCUCUCUAAUUAUUGAAUUAAACAAGUACCAUCUUUGGCUCUAGUUUAGAUUGAAAUGCAGAAGAUGAUAUCUACAAACCAAAAGAUACCAUCUCUCUGUUAAUUUGAAGUAGAAUUUGGUGUAGGCAUCUUGUCUUCAUCAUCACUCUAGAACAUGCAGUAUGGCAGCACCAUAAUGUUGCUGUUCCUAUGCCCUUUUAAGACAACUAGCAAUAUGGGCACAUGCAUUGCAUGUGUAAAAGGAACUAAUAAAAAUGAAAAUACAGUUAUAAGUUAUUGAAUUAUAUUUAAAAUAUAAACAUAUAUAAAAUAAAAAUAAAUCCAAAAGACAAAGUUAAUAAACAAAAAAACUAAGGCACACACAAUGCAUGUCUCGAGAAACUACUGAAGAAAGGACACAUUUUACUCCCUUGAAUUAUUGAAAAAAUAGAAAAAUUGAAUGCACAAAAAAUAUAAAAAUAAAAAAAUGGAAUAAUAUUUUGAAAAUGGAUAUUCAAUUUCUUAGUACUUACAAAACUUUUGCACAUGAAGGGUGGACGUGAAAGAAGGGGAGAGAGAGCGAAAGAGGGGGACAGGUUGGGGAAGGAGGAAGAGAGAGAAAAGAGGAGCAGGUUGGGAGAAUUUUUUUCUACAGGAAUUCAGAUGGGAAGUGAGAGAGAUAAAGAGAGAUAAAGCGCAAUGGCUUUUUUGUUUAGGAUUCCUACUAAUUUGGGUUUCUUGUGUGACAAAAGUUAAGACAUUUGGUCGAGUUAUUUUUUUAAGACUCCAACUAAUGUAUGUCCCCAAUCUGAAAACAAAACUUGAUCAUAAUAAAGAAUUUGAAUACAAAUUUUGAUUUCAAAGUGCGUGUGCAUGAAAGAAAUAUUAAUUGAACCUACAUCAUUUUUUUUUCUCAAUAAAUACUAAGCAUAUUUUAGUCACUGAAUUUGAUAGAUGGAAUAUUAUAUACAGCAUAUUCCUCCAUCUUAUAAUAUAGUAUAUAAAAAGCUUUACACAAAAAUUUGCUAUCCUUUAAAUUUUCUUCAAUAAAAUCAUAAGCAGUUGUCUGGACAUUGUUGACUAUGUCAAUAAUGAAUUCAACAUAGGCCUUGGCAAGUAUCACUGCAAUUUCUAGUUUUCAGUUUUUCAAAACUAAAACAAGAAAUCAAGAUAAAAAACCUAUUUGGUAGAGUAAUUUUCUCUUUUUUGUUUUUAGAAAACUCUUGCCUGGUAUUUUAAAAAAUGUGAAAGCUAUUAAAAGUGGCUUCACUUUUUUUAAAAAAAGAGAAACAUGUUUUGUUUGACCCCAACCGCCAUCAUUACCACCACCUCCAUCAUAACUGCCCCCAUUAUUGCCACUGCCACCAAAACUACUGCUUAUAGAAUUUAUGUUUAUAUUUUUAAAAACAAUCAUCCAUUGCAAACAUAUUUUAUAAAUUUAGGAAAAACAAAAGCACCAUUUCAGUUUUCAGUUUUAAAAAAGAGAAAACUGGCAGCAAUUCCACUGGCAAUGAGCCUCUUCCCCCACUUUUUUUUAUGUCCAAAAAUUGGCACAUAGUGGGAAAAUUAGGGAAAGUCACCAAACCUUUUACUAUUUGGCAUGAAUUUCGAAUAUGUUGUAGGGUGGACAACACCCUACAAUAUAGUUAUUUUUUAACAUAUAUUUUUUUAUGAAUUAUUUUUGUUAUUUUUGGAUUAGAUUAAUAAUAAAUAAAAUAAACGAAAUUUGAGGAUGACAAAUUGUACCAUGUGCAUUUACAGUAUGCGCAUAACCAUGGCACUCCAACAUCACGUACCACUGAAAUAAAACUAAACCACUAAAAAUACAAAAAAAAAGAGAGAGAGAAAUAGGCUUAUCGACAAAGAAACACAAAAAAUAGGAAAAAAAUAAAAAUAUAGAAAUUCGGACAUAUGGGAAUUCUGAUACAGUACCAGGACACAACCUCGUACUAGUGUGCCAGUAUGGGAUGGACUGAUACCGUACCAGUCCGACUGAAAACCAGUCCCACACCAGAUACCGGAUUUUAAAACCUUGGUAUAUUGCUUAUCCUUUGAAUCAAUUAAAUAUUGAUUCAAGUUUGCAAAAAACUUGAAAUCAAUCUUGAACUAAUCUAUGAUUCAAGCUUGAACUAAUCUAUGAUUCAAGCUAGAAUCAAUUUGAUUUCAGCUCAUUUUAGGAUUAUCUGGUUGGUCAAUUAGACUUGUUUUCAGCUCAGUUUGAAAUCAAUAUUGAAUUGAGCUUGAAAUAAUGGUAAACAAAUCAAGCACGAUCUCAAAANNNNNNNNNNNNNNNNNNNNNNNNNNNNNNNNNNNNNNNNNNNNNNNNNNNNNNNNNNNNNNNNNNNNNNNNNNNNNNNNNNNNNNNNNNNNNNNNNNNNNNNNNNNNNNNNNNNNNNNNNNNNNNNNNNNNNNNNNNNNNNNNNNNNNNNNNNNNNNNNNNNNNNNNNNNNNNNNNNNNNNNNNNNNNNNNNNNNNNNNNNNNNNNNNNNNNNNNNNNNNNNNNNNNNNNNNNNNNNNNNNNNNNNNNNNNNNNNNNNNNNNNNNNNNNNNNNNNNNNNNNNNNNNNNNNNNNNNNNNNNNNNNNNNNNNNNNNNNNNNNNNNNNNNNNNNNNNNNNNNNNNNNNNNNNNNNNNNNNNNNNNNNNNNNNNNNNNNNNNNNNNNNNNNNNNNNNNNNNNNNNNNNNNNNNNNNNNNNNNNNNNNNNNNNNNNNNNNNNNNNNNNNNNNNNNNNNNNNNNNNNNNNNNNNNNNNNNNNNNNNNNNNNNNNNNNNNNNNNNNNNNNNNNNNNNNNNNNNNNNNNNNNNNNNNNNNNNNNNNNNNNNNNNNNNNNNNNNNNNNNNNNNNNNNNNNNNNNNNNNNNNNNNNNNNNNNNNNNNNNNNNNNNNNNNNNNNNNNNNNNNNNNNNNNNNNNNNNNNNNNNNNNNNNNNNNNNNNNNNNNNNNNNNNNNNNNNNNNNNNNNNNNNNNNNNNNNNNNNNNNNNNNNNNNNNNNNNNNNNNNNNNNNNNNNNNNNNNNNNNNNNNNNNNNNNNNNNNNNNNNNNNNNNNNNNNNNNNNNNNNNNNNNNNNNNNNNNNNNNNNNNNNNNNNNNNNNNNNNNNNNNNNNNNNNNNNNNNNNNNNNNNNNNNNNNNNNNNNNNNNNNNNNNNNNNNNNNNNNNNNNNNNNNNNNNNNNNNNNNNNNNNNNNNNNNNNNNNNNNNNNNNNNNNNNNNNNNNNNNNNNNNNNNNNNNNNNNNNNNNNNNNNNNNNNNNNNNNNNNNNNNNNNNNNNNNNNNNNNNNNNNNNNNNNNNNNNNNNNNNNNNNNNNNNNNNNNNNNNNNNNNNNNNNNNNNNNNNNNNNNNNNNNNNNNNNNNNNNNNNNNNNNNNNNNNNNNNNNNNNNNNNNNNNNNNNNNNNNNNNNNNNNNNNNNNNNNNNNNNNNNNNNNNNNNNNNNNNNNNNNNNNNNNNNNNNNNNNNNNNNNNNNNNNNNNNNNNNNNNNNNNNNNNNNNNNNNNNNNNNNNNNNNNNNNNNNNNNNNNNNNNNNNNNNNNNNNNNNNNNNNNNNNNNNNNNNNNNNNNNNNNNNNNNNNNNNNNNNNNNNNNNNNNNNNNNNNNNNNNNNNNNNNNNNNNNNNNNNNNNNNNNNNNNNNNNNNNNNNNNNNGGGAAGAGUAAGGCACUGUUGGGGAAGCCGAAGCAGGGGGGGUUGGAGGUGGGGAGGGAAGAGUAAGGAUAAUAACGUCAUUUUAAAUUUGUAUUUUAUUUUUAAUUAAUAUAAAUGUGAUUUUUUUAACAUCGUUAGAACAACAAUUAUAUUAGGGAUAUUUGUACAAUAACAGAGUUUUACAAGGGUAUACAUGCAAAUAUCAAUUUUGAAAGGAUAUUCAUGCAAAAUUCGAUAUUUAGAAGGGUAUCCAUGCAAAAAACCCUAAAAAAAUACUAAAUAGAACCUAGCUUAAAGUCAAAAGAUCUGUAGCUCAGUAACUCCAUCGAUAUCAGAUCUGUUUUUAAACUUAAAAAAUCCCAAAAGAGUCAUCCCAUCAAGAAACUCUGCUAGCAUUAUAGUAAACAUAAUAGUCAAGCCAUUCUCCAACUAUUUGAGAUUGGAAGUAGGAAUUUAUCUUCAUCAACAAUUGUAAUAAUGAUCUAUGUCCUUUAUACUAAAAGCUUCCUGAAAUAAUCAAAAUUCUGAACUAACCUACAAAUCUCAAGGUAAACCCUUCUAAAGCCCUAGCUGUUAGAACUCAGAAGAUUGGAAAACAAAACUGAAAAAUAAUUCAAUCCUGAAUUCCAAAAAUGUAAAGAAACUUACGAAUAAUCGAAAGAAAUAGUAAUUUUCAAUACUAAAAGACUAGUGUAGAGCUCAAUUUACUAAAGAAAGGACCAAAGUUAGCAACAAAAAUCCAUUGUACAUCAAAAGAGGCUGAGAACAUUCCUUGUUUCAGUGAUUAAAAAAUUUAAGAAAUGAAUUAGACAAUUAAAAUGUUAUCUCAACUUGUUAAAAAAAUCAUAUACAUCUUAAAAAUGAUCCCAUAGGUGUGAAUGAAGGAUGAUCCUAGACAGUGAAAAGAUGUUUCCUGAGUAAUGUAACAUCUUCACAUCCUUUAUACAAUAUGAAUAGAAGACCCAAAGGACAGACCCAUAAUGAAUUGAAACAAUGAUAAUGAUGGGGGAGAUGGGAUUUGGGAAUAUCAAACUGUUAUAAAGUACCAAAAAACUUCAAGUUCCCUACAAAUUGACCCUCAUAAAAGGUCCAGGCCAAGUAUUUAGGUGAAAAGGCAGAUGCACGAAGCUAAGAUUGCAAAACUUAUUAAACUUUAAUAGAUAUUGUAGUAUACCAAUUUACUUUUAAAUUCCACGGCAAUAUCUUCAGAAUUUUGAGGAAAGGGAGACUAUGUAGGUGCAGAAAAACAGUUAACAUUUUCUUUUAUGCACUUUCCUUGCAUCUCUAUCUAAAACAUCAUAUGGAGAGAAUCAAGAGGCGGCAAAGGGAAGGUCUCUUUAUCAUUGUUUGAAAAUUGAAAGAACAAAUCUUGGUGCAGCUGCCUUUAGGUGGUGAGCUAUAGACUAAGCAACAACUUGAAUACUGCGCGGCCUUUGUGCAUGGUGGUCCACUUCGAUCCCAAUCUAGGAACUUGGGAAGCUGCCCUGCCUAAAAUUAAUGAAAACAGCAUGUACUGAUGUGGUUGGGCUGCCAGAUCACCUAAAGUGGGACUGUCUAGGAGCCUCGGCAGCUUCCUCAAAGAACAAUGCAUAAAACCAUAUGAGAAGAUACAAGGGUUAUAUAUCAACAAGACCAUUGUGCAUAUGCCUUAGGACAGUAGGUUUUGACAUUUUUAACAAUACCAUUACUCAUUAAGAAAACACAUUUAUAGGAUGGAUGUAGCAGACACCAGAAAUUAAUGACACAAAUGCGAGAGUCAGAUUCAAACACAUGUCCGAGCAUCUAAGUCGGCAACCAGAAAAAAGAGAUGCUGGGAUAUUUCAAAAGAAGGAAUAAUUUCAACCAAUUUAAUCAAAUGUUGCAUAAGCAUAUUAAAUUAUAUUGUUAAAAAUAUUAAAAGAUAUUAUUUGUUGAGGUCUUUUGGUAUCCAUGUUUUUGACCAAAGUCCCAAAUUAGCUUAACGAUUUCAGAAAUAAUAAGUUUUGUUCUGGAAAAAUAACAAAAACUUGCCUUCUCUAACACAUAUCAUAGUGAAGUCAAAGUCAUUGUUGGAAGAAUCCAACCCUACCAAUUCACAAACCGCUGCUAAAGCAUUUGAUGAGUAUCCAAAUUCCAAAUAUCUCACAUUUAGCUGAUUCUUCAGAUAUGUAUCCAGCAUGGACUAUGAGAACCAUGCAAGUAUCCAGGGAACACAGGAUAUCCUAGGACUGGAUGAGUACACUGUAGGAACUAGGAAGCUUAAGAGAAGCAACUACAAAAUGAUAAACUAAUGGAGAGCCAACGUUGAUUAGUAAACAAUGUAGAACAUAGACCUUAGAAGCCUGAUAAGAAGGCUGUUACAGAUGCAGGAUUGGAAAGGGGGAAAAAUGAAUGGAAGUAGCAUAGGCAGGAUUAGGAGCACAUUAUUCUGAAGAACGAAACUUGUGAUAGGAACUUGUGGCACUGUCGGAAACAUAAAUCCAAUGGCAAAUAAGUUUGGAUAAGAUGCCAUCUGUAGCUGAAUACACAUGCUUGACUGACUUCAACAGAAACUCAAACCAGUAUAAAGUUACUCCAUUUAUUACAAGCAAAGCAAGGUCAAAUCAUUUGUUACACAAGAAUCAAAUCAAACGGCCAACAACCCCGGAUACAACUAUUAGUCAAGCUAACACUAAGCAUUUAAAUUUCACGAACGCUCAAACUAAACAACCAUAAUAUUUUACACAUCCUACUACUAUAUCAUGGCAUCGAGCAAAUUAUAUUCUCAGUACCGACAAGAAUCGAUUUUUCAUUGACCCUUUCGAGCAGUGAAAUCCACCAAAAUCACAAAAUCUAGCAAAACCCAAUUCAAUUACCAAUGAAACGACAACAAUCCCAACCAAAGUCCAGCAUAUUCCAGCACAAUCCCACCACACCCAAUACCCAAAUCCCCCCAAAACCCCAAAUCAACCAGUACUCGCCAAAUUAACCAAAACCCCUCUAAAUCGACACAAAAACAAUCCAAACACUGAAUAAUACGCCGAAAACAAGACGAAAAAGAGGGGGAGAAAGGCCGUAUCUUACAUUGUUUCCCUUCCAAACUUGAUAGACUCGCUUUGCCAUGAAGAACCAAACCCGCUGCGACUACGCCGGAAGGGAAUCGAAGACAUCGAACUCGCUCAUCCUCCUCGAGCCCUCAAAAUCGACGAGAAAAGCAGCAGGUAAAGAGAUUACAGGUUGGAUUUUGGAGCGCUUUUCGGUCUUCCCUUCUGAAAUAAGCAGAGAAAGAAAUGAUUUUUCCCCCCUUUUCUUCCCUCCUCCUCCUCCUCUCUUUCUUUAUUUUCCGGGCUUCGAUUUUCGAUCGAAGGCUGUUGAAAGCUGAGGUAGGGUGAGGUGUAAAACAGGGACUUUUCAGAAGAAAAAAGAAGGCAGUAUUCUCUCUCUCUCUCUCUGUUUUUAUUUCUCUCUCUUGCCCACGUUCAAGGGGAGGCCGGGAGGGGUUUAAGUGGGGCUAUGCCUCCCUGUUACGCAAGGGGGGAUACAACGAAAAAAGGGAGACUUUUAAUGAGGUGGGACCGAGUGACUGUUUUGGCCAGACAGGGGUUGUAUAGUUCAUACAAAAGAAGGCUUUUUCUUCCUUCGACGAAUCCACCGUUGGAUCACAUAAUGGACACUUUGAGAUCUGCGACGAUGAGUCUAUCGGAAUGCUUUGAGAGCUGUGCGGGUCUCGAUCCAGCGGUCGAAAUAUCAAUAUUUCUUUCGCGCGAAGGACACAACCCGAACCCAAUGGGCAAAGGUAAUAAUUUAUUGGUUUUUUUUUUCAUGAAUACCCCUAAAUAUUAAAUUUUGUGUAAAUACUCUCCCCAAAUUAAUAUUUACAUAUAUAUCCCAUACAACACUUAUUUUAUUAUUCUAAUUUUUUAACCAUAUUUUUUAUAUGUACUCACACAUCUAACCUCGUUAAAAAUUAACAAUUUUAUAUUUAAAUAACUAAAAUACUCUUAAUAGAUGUUAUAUAAAAAAUAUAUUUAUAAAAAAAGUACGAUGAAAGAUAAAAAAUAAUUUUAAUUUUUUUAUUUUUAAUUAAAAAAUAUAAUUUUUAUUAAUGGUGUUAGCAAAAUCGUUAUAUUAAAAAAUAUUUGUAUAUAAAUAGUAUUUUAUGACAAUAUAAAAAUAAAUAUAAAUUUUAAUAGAAUAUUUAUAUAAAAUUAAAUUUUUAAAAAGAUAUUCAUGAAAAAAAAAGAACUCCAACUUGCCGGGAUAAUUUUUUCAUUUAAGUAAGGAAGUAAUCUAUAUGGGGAUAUUUAAUUCCUAAAUGCACUAGCCUGGCAAGUGGCAGCUAGCUCCCCUCUGUGCUCAUCAAAAUAAAGUACCGAGUAGACUAAUUAAUAAAUAAGAUUUGCUGAAAUUCCAUGCCAAAAACAGGAUGUUGUGCUAAGUACAUUAAUCCAGGUAGAGGGGCUUGGAUGCUGCCAAGUGGUGGGUAAAAGAGAGUUGUUUGUUUAACCAGCCAAAAACUAUCCAAAAAGUUGAUGAAUAAUUUUGUGGGUUGAAAAUAUGAAAGCCCUUGAUGGGGGCCAAAAUAAACCAUCCUACUCAUAAUAUGGGACCACUCAAUUUCAGCCAAAUAAACAUCAGCACCGAACAUACAAGAUCUUGGUCCCGCCGAGCACCCAUCCGACCUCGGACCUUACAAAAGGCCGAACCGAUCUCGGACCUUACAAAAGGCCGAGCCGACCUCGGCCAGACCUCUCCGCUCAAAGCGUCCUACAGGAUCGAUCAAGAGCCGAAGAAACAAAUAUUUAUUAUUCGAUGCUUGGUUUAAUUUGCCACGAAGAAGCGAAUAUUCUUUGCUGAUGCUACCAGUAUUUUAAUUGGAGAACUUUGAAUCCUUUUUUUUUCUUGAGCAUUAAGUAUAGAAGCGAUGCACCACUAUAUCGGUUAUAAAUUAAGCAUAAAGCCAAGGAUCAAAUCCAGUGGCUCUAAUAGAUCAUACCCCUGUCUUAUGACCUAUAAUUGCGUGUGAAUAUAAACAAGCAUGAAUCAUAUGAGUACCUGGGUGCCCACUCAAAGUUCAUGCUGGUUCCUCUGAUUGCAAGGAAUUACAUUAGGGCUCACAGGCUCACAAAUUCAAAUAACUAGUGGCUCAUGAAACUUCCAUUACAUCACAAGCUAUACAAUGUAGGUGGGUGAAUCUUGGAUGAGAGUGAGAUAUGGCAAAUUAACUAAAUAUUCUAUCAUAAAAUCGUGAGCUACAUUCCAUUUCUUUGUCACAUAAUUUAAUGGAAAAGGAGACAAAUUAAAGUUCCGACAAAAUUUUAUAAUCUAAUCUACUACCACUUCUAAGAUAGGUUGCUAACUGACAUAUCUAAGCUCUUUAAUCGUCACAUCUCGAGCAAGAUUUCUUGGACUUGAAACAAUGGAAGGUGCAAGUUUGUUUGGUUUUCUUGGAUAUGCCAAGUGGCACAUUGCAAGUGUUCUUGUUGGUAUUCCUACCACUUGGAAAAAUGCUUUAGAAGGACAUCCAAGUUUGCACCCUCUCAGGGGCCUGCCACGAAGAGGGUAUGAAAUAUGCCACCAAGAUGGUAGCAUAGAUGGAACAGAGCUUUGUUUCCACCGAGAUGGUUCAGGUUCGAAACACGCGGGCGUUGAUUAAAUUUGGAAAUCGGAUGCCCCAUGCCUGACGCUUUCGGUGGGAGCGCUACUGGUCCACUGGUACCGAGGCGGCGCUAGAGUGACGUACUCACACGUGAGUGAGGAACCCAGUAGAGGGAACCCACGGGUCGGAGAGGGUAUGCGGAAACUUGCGGCCUGCAUCGAACAUUCUCUUAUGGAAGGAGGACCCAGUAGGGGCUGCUACGCGGGUGAGGUUUUCUCUCCUUCCGCUCCUAUUUUUUACUUAAAAAAAAAGAGGGUAUGAAUUAUUGAGGUAUUGCCAAGAGUUGAUAGGUGUUUAAUUAAUCAAAAUUAGUUUUAUGUAUUGUGUAUCCAUCAAAAUUAGUUUUUUGUUCACUUUUUGAUACUCUUUAUGAUAUAUUUUACACCACUUCCAUUACAUCCAAGUUAUGAGAUGCAUUAGAAUAAAAAUAUAGUAAAUUAUAUGAGGGUCUAGAAAAUACAUUGUAGGAAAGAUUUUAGAGUAUAAGAUGACUGAUAAAAAAUAGCUUGUACUACAAACUCAUGAAGAGCAAGCAUUGAUUCAUGAUAUGAAACAAAAAGGAAUCGAUCUUGUUGAGAAAUUUCUAAUGGCUGCCAUUAAUGUUAAAUUACCUCCUAAGUGAAAAUUUUUAUCUUAUCAUUAAAACAUAAAAGAGAACUUCUAACUAUGAAUGAUUUGAUAGUUUCACUUAAAUAGAAAAGAAAUAUAUAAGAGAAAAAGAUAAAUUUUCUAACGAUUUCAAACAUAAGAUAAAUCUGGUAGAGGGAAAGAAACAUGACAAAUUCAGGAAUCAAAACCAAGAAAAAUAUAAUAAAUUUAAGCUGCAAUUAGAAGUUAACAAAAUAAAAUAAAAAUAAAAGUUGCUAUUAUAUUUGUGCUAAAUCCAAGCACUUCGCAAGAAAUUGCUAUUAUCGAAAGGAUAAGGGCCUAAAGAGUUAGAAGAAUCAGCACAGUCUUCAAGUAAACAUGGUGUCUGUUGAAUCUAGUUCAUCUGGGAUCAAUGAAAGUUUGUUUCUAUUAACUUUGAGAUAAAUCUAGCAUAUCAAUCGACUAAUUAGUGAAUUGAUGCUGGUACUAAUGUACAUGCUUAUACUAAUAAAUCUAUGUUCUUCACUUAUCGGGUCUUUAAUGGAAAUACUGCACCGACGGAGAAUUCUAUUGCUACAUAAGUGAGAGAUGGAGGAUGAGUAGAUUGAUACUAAUAUCUAGGAAGACUCUUGCUCUCCACGAAGUGCAGCAUAUAUCAAAAGUUAGGAAGAAUUUUAUUAAUGAUUCUUUGCUAAUAAAGGAUGGCUAUAAUAAAAUGAUCUUUGAGUCAAAUAAAGCCAUUCCAACCAAAAAUCCUACUUUUAUUGGAAAGGAUUAUUGUUUCUGGUGGACUACUUAAAUUGAAUGUGACAAAAGUUGAGAGUAAUAAAAUCAAUUCUUUUGUUUACCAAUCUUGCAUCUUCUAAUUAGUGGCGUGAUAGAUUUGGUCAUGUAAACCAUAAUACUAUUAAAAGAAUGAUGAAUUUAAAUUUGAUUCCUAAAUAUGAUAUUGAUACAAAUUAAGAACGUGAGAUAUAUGUCCAAUUUAAGCAACCAAGAAAAUCAUUUAAAAUAGUAUAUAAAAAACUGAACUUUUUGAAUUAAUAUAUAGUGAUGCAUGAGACUUAAACAUUCUAACUAGAAAUGCAAAAGAUACUUUAUUACUUUAUUAGAUGAUUUUUCAGAAUACUAUUAUCUGUAUCUUAUUAGAAUAAAAGAUGAAGUUUCUUAAAUCAGACAGAGGGGGAGAAUAUACCUCCAAUGAGCUCAAUAAUUUUUUUAAAAUAAAUGGCAUUAUUUUUUUCACCUUAUCCAUCGCAGUAUUAGGAAAAAGAAUAAAACUUUGAUUGAUAUGAUUAAGUGCAUAAUUAGUAAUUCUAUGGUAUCUAACAAUUUGUAGGGAGAAGUUCUUUCAUCCAUGUGCUAUAUUCUUAAUAGUAUUGUUCAUAACGAUGCUAACCUAACAUCCAAUGAUGUGACAAGAUAGGAAUCCUAAUUUAAAUAAUCUUCAAAAGGCAACUCCUCUAUUACCAUUUAUUAUGGAAAGCUCAAAUCUCUAUGAGAUGAGCUUGUCGAGAAAAUCGAGGUAUGAUUUCCAUCAGCCCCAUCUUGAUCAUAGCCACCGUAAACUUCUCGAAGAGUAAAGCAUGGUUCAUGAUGAAGCUCUUGACUAUAGAUUGCAUCUUGAAGUUAGUCUACGAGUCCUGGUCUGACUUGAAGAGGCCUUGCCGAUUCAUGAGAUCAAUGUAGUACUUGUAGUUGAAAGUGUUCGAGGACCGGAUAUCGAUCAUGAUGGUGUUGUUAGUGUUCUUGGCUGAUUAGGUACGGUGGAGGGAGUUGGUGAAGCUCUUGUCCAUGGUGGGAUCCUAGAAGGGGAACAAACAAUCGUCGAAGGAGUAUAUUUGCCAAUACCAAUGGUGUGGGCACCGAAGAUGGCGAUUUUUUCUUUUCUUAUUUUUGGCUUGAAACUAUAUUAUACUAUAAAAUACAAGCAUCUCUAGCUACGACCAAAACGAACCGGCUAGCUAGGCCACACCCUUAUCCAAUAUCGGCUCGAAAUUUUUUUCCUAAGCUCUGGUCUCAGCUUAGACCCAAAAAUUUUAGAAAAUAUAGACCCGACCUUGACCUAAUCCCAAGCCCAAAUAUGGCCCAAAAUCCAAUCGAGCCAACCCAAAUUUAGUCUGUUUGGGCCAAAAAUUAGGCCGACCUGAUUUAGGAAUUGAGUUUAACUUCCAGACAAUCAACCAGAAUGCCGAUUUUUUUAGCAUAACCCUUGAAUAAAUACAACCGCUAGCAUUGAUAGCUAUAAUGUCUCGCUCCUAAAUACUAAACGACCAUGAUUAGUCACGUAGGAAGCCACUCGAUAUGCUCUCCUAUUAGCCUUCUUGAGCACAUACUUCACUGCACAUGAAAUUGUGUUCAUCUUAAGUCUCUAUUUUGUAUAUAGAAAAAUAGCCUGUCUUGGAAUUCCAAAUGAUAAAAUCUAACCCCCUAAUCUGAUCCUGAUUCUUCACACUGUGCUCAAGCUGCUUCCUUUCAUGUACAACUAAUAUAUGUAGUUACGCCAAAGGAGCCUUACUUGUAUACUUAGAAGUUUUAGUUUGAUUGCAAAAUAAAUUCAUUAUCAUUGAAAUCCAUUUAAAACAUAUUUAUAAUGAUCUAUUACUCCACGAGAAUAUGUUUGACAGCCAAAAGGAGCAGCACCAACAAGCUUUUUCUUUGAAAACAGUUUUCUACGCGAGGUUUUACAUUAUCUAAUAUAUAUAUAUAUAUAUUUUAUACUCAAUGAAAAGGUAUAAAAAAUAUUAUUUUUGUUAGUUACAAACAAAAUUAUCUUUCCAAGGUAUGCUUCAGUUCAGCAAGAUAUAAUAUGAAAAGUAACAAAAUUUCAUUAUGGGAAGAUAUUAGAAAAAUAAAUAAAUUCUUAUUAUUUGCUUCAAACUAAUAAUGAGCAAAUCAUAGUCUUAUAUAUUAAUUGGCAUGACUUAUGAUGGUUAAUGCUUGAAUUAAUAUGUAUUUUAUCAUUUAAUAAGAGGAGUGCUGGUAAUUGAACCCAAUACGGGACAUGGGUUAGAUUAUCUUUUUAAUUAAAAAUAUAAAAUGUUUAUAAAAUAAUUUAAUUUUGAGGUCCAUUCUUUUGAAUGGAAGAUGGAUUUCGGAGUGCUUUGAGAUAUGUGUGGUUAGUGAUCCAACGAUGCUGGGCGCGAAAAAGGUUAAUCAUAGUCCUGUCUCAUCCCCUUUCGUAUAGACAGGCCACUUUCCUGCUGCUUUGGUCUCUUCUCAACGAUACCACUCUCUUUCCCGCGCCAUCUUUACACUACCCCUCCUUUCUUCUUCGUCGACCGCCACCGUUUCUUAAGUUGUCUUUUUUCUGUAGCUUAGUUACUACCUCCGGCCGGCUGGCCUCUUCCUCCCUUAUCUUUUCUCCUUCCACAAUGGGAAAAAUAAAAAAUUCUUCUUCCUUUAUUUUAAUAGUCCAAGAAUUUUUUUUGUAGUGUCUGUACACUAUAGUGGCUAGAUUGGCCUCCUUAUCCGUUAUCUCAUUUAAUCUAUCCCAAAUUUAGAUUCAACAAUCAUUUUUCUAAUAAAAUAAUCAUAUCCUUAUAAAGAAAGGAAAUAACAAUUACUCCCUAAUUGCAGCAUGCAUGCAAUUUAUCGAGACACGUGUUUGAUAAAACACGGUUAUAUAUGGCAAAGGUCAAAAAGUUUAGAAAUUAUAAACUAAAAAUAAUAUAGAGAUCUAAACCACGGGAUUUUAACAAAAACAAAAACUUCUUUAGUUUUCCGCUUUUUUUUUUCAAACUCCACACUCUUUUUUCUCUCCCUCUCAAGAUCGUGUGGGAAUGGGCCAAGAGGAUCUUAGGAGGAAACCAAUUCAUACAUAAAAUUUAUAGAUGUUUUAGGAUGUAAUACUUGGGAAAUUAGACCAUCAACUGAUCUGCUCCAAGACACCUUUGAUGUACCUUUGUGAACAUUACAAAUCAGCUUGAAACUUCAUUAAACUCUCUUGUAGCACGCAAUUGAUAAGAAACUAUUUUCAUCCCAUAUGUUUCAGAGAAUUUAAAUCCUGGUGAAUUGGGUGAAUUUAAUUUGACAAUAUUUCCUAUCAUGUUUCUUGGAUAUUAGAAGAUGACAAGAGUAACUUGCAGGGCUUUUUAUACAGGAUAUUUUUUUUGGUCAUCUUCUAUUUAUGUUUUGCCUUGUGUGACUUUAGACAAUGGAGGGUGACAUCCUAAUAUUCUCACCCUCUUGGUAUAUAUAGCAUCGCAUCAAGUAAUUAAGGGAUCAAAUGCUUUCAUUGCAUUACAAAAAGGUGGAAAAUUUCCAUCGUCAAAAUCAUUAAUAGUACACAAAAGAAAGAUACCCUAAUGAUUACAUCAUCACUCUAGAAUGCCGACGCCAAUUAUGUAGCAGCAUAUUGUUAUUUUGAGUAGAUCUUCUCUUUCUUUCUCUUAAUAAAUAAAACCAUAAGUGGGUUCAACUUGUAUCUUCCGCGCGAAGAAUGAUCGACUUUUUUUUGCCAUGUCAACCUUUAUAUGGCUUGUUAUAUAGAUUUCAAAAUAUUUUAUUAUUAUUAUUUUUUAUCUGCUUGUGCAAAUUUUGAAGCAGCUAUUGUGCAAUCCAACAGACGAUGUGGCGAAAGAAGGGUAAUUAUUCUUUCAUUCGAAAGAUACAAUCCGAACCCAACUAGCCUAACCUGGCCUGGCUCAUAUUUACAACCUUGCAACAUGUUCAUGCCAAAACCUCAUUAAUGUUUUAGUCUAGUAAAAUUACAUCACUUCCAAUUCUCUUAUUGAGCAACCUAAUUCCAAAAACAAAGAAAAAGCAGAAAGCAUACAAACCUGAACACACCAAUGCUCAUAUAUGGUCCAAACCUGAACAUGCUGUCCAUUUCCACACCAUUUCUACCUCUUAGACCAAACAUCUUACAAGACAAACACGUACACAAAAAGCAUACAAUAUUAUUACGUCCCAUUACACGUGCUACAUCACACGUGCAGCCUAAAACACAGCCAUCUCCCCUUCUCCGUCCACCAAAGACUCCAACACCCCACUCCGUGACCCAGCAUUGCGUGCCGAGCAGUUGGCCCGGAUCUCCCCCUGCGUCCCCGUCAGUACGCUCAGCUGCCCCAUUUUGAUCAUGGCCGACGCAAACUUCUCGAAGAACAAAGCCUGGUUCACGGCGAAGCUCGUGACGAUAGACCGGGUCCUGGAGUCGGUGUACAGGUCCUGGUCCGACGUGAAGAGGCCUUGCCGGUUCAUGAGAUCGACGUAGUACUUGUUGUCGAAGGUGUUGGGGGACCGGAUAUCGAGAACGGUGGUGUUGACGGUGUUCUUGGCCGGGCAGGUGCGGCGGAGGGAGUUGGCGAAGGUCUUGUCCAUGAUGGGAUCCUGGGUGGGGAAGAGGCGGUUGUCGAAGGAGGUGCAGUGGCCGAUGCCGAUGGUGUGGCCGCCGGAGAGGGCGACGAGGUCGGUGGAGUCGAGUUUGAGCUUGGCCAAGGCUGAGAGGAGGACGGUGACGUUGGAGAAGGGGGCAGGGAGGCUGGCGAGGGUGGCUUGCUGGGUGGCGAAGUUGAGGCCGUCACGGCGGCCUAAGGGAACGGGGUAGUUAGGCCCACCGGACUGCAAGAGAGAUUUGAACUCUUUAGCCGGGCGAUCUCAAACAUCACACAUCAAGAUCUAGUGGCUUACCAUUACAUUUAGACUAUUUGCUGGAGACAGUAGUGCUUAUUUCUGCUGAUCUCAUUUCUCUUAUAUAUGCUUGUAUUUUUCAGUAAUAGCAAAUAUAUGAAUGUAUAUAAGAAGUUUUUUGUAUACUUUUUUAAUAUUUAGAAAUUAUUUGUAUCUUUAUCGUCAAAAGUUUCAAAGAGGUGUGACCUCUUUUGUAGCUGGAUUAAUUUGUGACAUCAGAAACCAAGUUCCUGGCCUUAAAUCUUUUACUACCGUGAUACAGGAAGAGGCAAGCUUUGCAUGGUUCGUUUCAUUUUAAGGGAGGGAGUGAAAUAUCCCUAUUUUUAAUUUUCUCUAUAAGUUUAUCUCACUAACCAUUGGAGACUAAUUAAAAUACGAUUCACCUGGUUAGCGGGUGAACAUCAAUAGUUAAAUAGGCGUGUGGUGGUAGGCGGCUAUUCGAUAUCCAAAUGCAGCCCAAGGGUCCACACGGGAAAUAGCACGGUGCUUAGAAAAGUCAACAGUCAACCGACCGUCCGUACGCUUUUCCAGGCUAAAUUCACGGUGACCCAGUGAGCUUUCUUUUCAGUCUUUUUUUUUUUGGUUAAAGCUUUCUUUUCAGUCUUUGAAACUGUGCAUAAUGUCGUUGUACCAAAAAAUAAAAAAACCUGUCCAUUAACGCCACACGCUUACACACGCGCGCGCACACAGACACAGAGAGAGAGAGAGAGAGAGGGAGAAGCAAUACCAGGUGGACGGAGUCACGGGCAGCGAGAGCGGCGACGUCGGCGCAGGAGACGACCCGACCACAUUGCUUGUCUAUAAGAGCCCGGAGUUCGUUGAUGGCCUUGAACGCCGCCGGCCUCAGCGUCAGGUUGGGCGGCGCCUGCUGCUCCCCCGGCCCGCUCGCCGACCCAUCCAAUAACACCGACGCAUCACACCCCUGCCAUUUUCUAACCUCCAUCAAUGAUAUGCAACGAAAGAUGGACAUAUAUAUAACCAUUAUUGAGCUCGUGUUAACUAAAGAACCAGUUAAGAGUCAUACCUGGACGAAGCAGUCGUGGAAGUGGACUCGAAGGAGGCCGGCGGCGAGGCCGAUGUCCUUCUGGAAGGCAUUCUUCAAGUAGUUACCCACGAUGAGCUCCAGCUUUGGGCAGCUGGACUCGUAGAAGCUCCAUGACAGGCCCUUCACUAUGGGAGGAGAGCUCUCGGCUUCUGAUAGUGUACAGAAGACUGCAAGUGAAGAGAGAAGCAAUAGGAGAGCUAUGGAAGAAGAGGAAGCCAUUGGGUUAAAGUCAGUGGAAGCACCAAGGUCCCCUUACUGUUCUUGGUCAGCCAAGAUGGUCCUCAUUUAUAGGAUACAUGGGUUAGAGAUAAGACUCCUCUUCCAGGAAACUGAUGCACGCUUUCACAAAAGGCAAGUGGAUAAUUCCGACAUUCAAUAUGUUCUAGUGGGAGAUUUUUCCAAUAUGGUGGUGUGGAAAAAGAGAGAAAGAGGGUGCAGGCCUUCAUCAUCGGAAUCUACUUUUGAGAUGGUGGGUGGGAGGGCCCACGCCUCACUGACUCUUUCUUAGCCGACCACGCUCCCCGGAUCUACAGGGGCCGCACAUGCUUUUGAACUGGGAAAUAUUAUAUCAGGUUUUCCUUGGUUUGGUUGCCUUGUAAUGUUUUAGGUCACGUUCAUUGAGCAUUGUAUUUUGCGUUCCUGGUUUAUGUAUGAGUUUGUAUAAGAUGGAUCAAAGUCUAUAUAUACAGCAACGGGCAUAACUAUUUAUACCAAUAAGGAACCAAAGGUGUAUUAGGAACUAAAUAUCCAUGAACACUUGGCCAUGGAGAAUCCAUCUCAAUUGACAGGCACUCUAGCUAAUUAGAGAUGGUAAUUAUAUGCGCAUACACGAACAUAGACAUAUAUAUACGUAUAUGUAUUUGUAUUUGUGUAUGUAUAUGUAUAUUAUGCAGUGUACAAUAGUGUUAAUUGGUAAUUAUGACAAUAUUAUGUUAGUAUUUUUAUGAUAUGAUUGUUGUGAUUUAUAUAAAUUAAUGUUAAUAGUGAUUUUCUCAAAUAACGGUUACCUACAAUUAUAGUUUCAUUUUUUUUUAAGGCAUGUUUGGUUUGCGACCAGAAUAGAAAUUAGAAUUAGAAUGGAUUGGAUUAAGAAUCAGAAUGGCCAUAUCCUCCGAUGUGUUUGACUCGUUACUGGAAUCGAAAUCAAAUUAGAAUUUGAAUACUAGAGAAUAAUAAGAAUUGGAUUUUGGAGGAUUGGAAUAUUUCCAUUUUCUCUGAAGUUGAAAUAGGAACGAAACUCCCCCCAAUCAAAUGGUUAGAAUGGGAGUCACUUAUUCCUAUUCCGGUUCCAGAAUCCAACUCUUUGCAAUCAAACAUGUCCUUAUAGUACUUACUAGACAUAACAAUAUAGUUUUUUAAACUUUGGAUCCAAAGAGUAUAUACCUGUAAUAGUAAAUUAUAAUAAGUAAUAAGUAUCUUGGUGGUACUUAAAAUUUUUUUGGCCUCCUUCGAGAAACCAUAUUAUUGUUACAAUAAAAAUAACAGUUAAUCUUUUUGCUAAGUCAAUAUUUUGACUGGAUUGUGUGGAACAGAAUAAUGCUUGGUUUAUGAGGGAAGAAACUAAAAUACUAAGACUUACAACAACCCAAAAAAAAAAAAAAUAGUUUCUGAUAAAACCUGUUAUUAGUUAUUACAAGGAGAUUUAACCAACAAUAAUACAGAGAUACAGGCGAUCUGCUCUUGUUACUCCAUACAAGACAAAUAAUUUUCUCUUAACUGAUGUUGAUAAUAAUAUAUUAUUCCUAAAAUGAUUCAAAAAAAUGAGUAUAGAAUAUUUUUUAUUUCUAUUAUACAUAACAGUUUUUCCGAAAAGACAACAAAUAAAUUAUAUUGGUUGCAUAAAUAUUCAUUAUGAAUAUAUAAUUUGGCUGGAGCCCUCUGCAACUACAUGUAUUAAUUAGCUGUUAUAUAAAUUAUAAUAGCUGUAUCAUGUAACCAUGUCACAAUCUACACAAUGCCAUGUAGCCAAUAUGAAUAUAAGAUGGCAAAUUCUGACAUUAAUAAAUGAGAGGCGGGCCCUCAGCACUGAUUGUAGCCUCUCAUUUCUUAGCAGAUUAGUUAUAUGUAGUUCUCGACUCGACGUAGGCAUGCACAACUGCAUCAAGCAACGAAGGAGCGCGGCGGUGUUCAUUGAGAGCUAAAGUGAUGAGAUUGGAAGAGGGGGACCCAGGUGGUAAAUAUUCUCGUAACUCGGAAGGAAGACCGACCUUGGUGAAGGGAGAGGAGGAGGAGAUGGAUGGUUUACAUGUAUACCCUCCUAAUAGUUAUAAUUCAUGUUUUUUCAUUAACAUAAUUGCUCUGUCUAACUGUGAAACCGAUAAUCAUAUUUUUUGACCUUAGCUUAUUGUCUUGCAUUGGCCUUCUCUUUGCUUCGAUCUAUAAUACAGUCUUCUACACUUAAAAGUAUCUAAGACCAAUCUCGUUGCCUCGAUCUACUCCUAUUGGCCAUUCGAUUUCAUGUGCCUUGUAUUAUGGUUGAUUAUUGUCAAAUCUUGAUCUUUCAACCUGCUCAUUAGCAUCAUGAUCAAACUCUACCUCUUCGGCAUGGACCUCCACAAAUGAGAUUUUUUGUGGUUGAACCCUAUCUAGCCCGGCAAAGGUUACAUGAUUUUUAUAUAUUUUUACUUCAUCUAACCUUAUCCACGUAAACAUCUAAUUAAGUUGUUGAAAUGGGAUGCAAGCAGGGCCAGAUAGAGGAAGAAGAAUAUAUGGAGGUGAUGGUGAGUCUUAGAGGAUAGGGCUGAAGGUUUUUUUUGGGCUCAUUGGAUUUUUAAAAAAGAAAACCGCUUCUUCUUGGGCAAUGAUCUUUCUACAACCUGCUAUGCAAGGGUCAUAUAUGAAGCAUUGGCUGGCUUCCUCUUAGUCAAAAUCUCUUCCCAGUAUCUUACUUUUUCUCCCCCUUUUUUUUUGGUACACCGGCGCCUUACUGCACUCGGAUGUGAGUACGCCACGAGCAAUUAGAAUACAAAACAUGGGUUAGGCCCUGCGGAAUGAAGCCAGCGUCAUCCCAUAGGAGGAGGAUUUUCAAAGCUCCUUUUUGUUACAUUGUUCAUAGUCUUGAUGGGGAAACUAUACUUGAAUUUUGGAGGCGUUGCCGGUCUGGCCUUCAUUGUUCAACAUUACCCGGGAAUGUAUGGAGGCACUAUAAUAUCAACGGUUAAAGGUAAGAAUCCACAUCCAUAGCUGUGUAUUAUAACAUAUAUUUGUCACUAUGUAUCUCAUACUAGUUAAGUGUGCACCGAAGAACUAGAUAAUGAGCAUAAUAACGUAUCAAGAAAAGGUAUAUAUGUAUCAAAUAAAGAGUAAUUAAGUAUGCAUCUAAAACCGUGCUUAGUGUGACCAAAAUACAAGUGUAUAUCAAGUAGAAUAUUAUUCGUAUUGAAUACUAAUUAGUAAAAGUGAAUAAGCGUAUCAUACCUAGACUAUGGCAAAUAAAUUGUGUAUUGACAAAUAUUAUGGGUAUAUAAAUCAGGUAAUGCACGAAUUGCCUAGAUACAGGCUCCGGGUGCUUGUAUCAAUCUCUUGGCAGGUUUAGGAUGGAUAAAAUAGAGAGAUACAUGGAUAAAAUAGAGAGAUACACCCAUGAAAAGGUAAGUGUGUAUAAUUAGGUAUUAUUUAUAUGUUAUUUGCUAAGAGGUUUGUAUUGGCGCGUACCAUAUAUGUAUAUCAAUCUGCAUAUGCAUAUAUUUACAAAUGACAUAUCCUUCAAAACUCACGACUACCACGACAUCAUUUUCUUCCCCUAUACCACAUGCGUAUACCACAUCUAGACUCCACUAUCCUCUUCAUCAGCUCUGGCAUUCGCUGUACCCACCAAUGCCCCUCUGCUCCUCUCCAUCUUUUUUGGCCACCUUGUGAGGAUCUAUGCGGGCGUGUAUUUAGUCCCACAUUAGUUAUUCGCUGGGUCGAUCUUGGGUACUUAUACAGAUCAAAAAACCUAAAUGGUAUCUUUCGGCUAGUCAUUUUGGGUGAGAUCCUGGGUUGUUACAAAUGGUAUCAGAGCGGACCCAACCUAUAACCUAUGUGGACUAGGGGACACUAUAGCAUGGAUCUAUUGGGGCUGAUUACGAGCCGAUCAUGGUGUUCGUGAUUAGAUUUGAAUGGAUUUGAACCCUUAGUCGGACGAGCACGUCAAGGCUUAAACAGGAGAAUAUGUGAGGACCCGUGUGGGCGUGUGUUUAGUCCCACAUCAGUUAUUCGCUGGGUAGAUCUCGAGUACUUAUACAGGAUUAAGGAAUCCAAAUAAUACCUGAGUUGUUACACACCCUAUCUACCUCCUCUUUUCCUUCCUCUCCACCAAGGUGGGCCUUUUCUCAAGCUAUGAGAACACCAUCCUCCUCUCCUUUAUUCCAGUCCUACUAUUACUCCUUUGACACCACCCUACUUUGCCACUCUCUCAUCGACUGUGCUUCAUCUUCAUCCCCACCUUCCUCUUCUCUACUAUCAUAUACAAAGGUUAAAUAUGACCAAAAAAAUUAUAUUUUCUAGCAAAAUCAAUUAUAAAGUAUUUUUCUUAUAAAAUUCACUUCUUUUUUUUCUUCCCGAAAAAAUCACACUUUCCUUUUUUUUGAAAGGUAAAAUAAAUAAAUAAAGAAUAAAUUACAAAAAAUUCUUAAAAUUAGGGAUAAAAUACAUUUGCAACUUAAUAGUCUGAAAAAUAUGUGUAUGCUCCAUUAAGGUUUAUUUUUAUCCAACAUUUUAAUCCAUAUCUUAACUGAAUAUUAAUCUUAAAUGAGAUUCAAAUGCCAUUCGAAAAAAAUCAAAAAAAUAAAAAUAAUUUUAAGUGACAUAACAGCUAUCCAAAAAUAUUAAAAAAAAUAUACCAUCCUCAUUUUCAUCUAAAGAUAGUUUUAGCUUUUCCUAUGAGCUAAACGAUUUUUAUUAAUACCAUUAAUUUAAGUAGAUGUAAAUAUAGAUUUUAUAAAAUAUUAAAUAUAAGUAUAAUAAAGAUAAACUUUAGAAAAGUCUUUAUAAUCUAUUUAUAAAUAAAUAAAUCAUGUGUUCGCCAAGAACCAGAGGCCAUAUCGAGCAUAUAUCUAUGGUCCAAUUGUCUCACUUCCCAAAAAGAUAAUGUUAGCUUAAUGUAAUAUUAUAAUUUGUUGAAAUAAAUGUCCAGAAGACUAAAAGGCUCGCGAGAUUUGCCGCCCAUGUGACCAGUCCUCGGUACUCUUGCCCCAGCGUCGGCGGAGUAGGUGGAGAAAGCCGGCCUUUUUUUAUUAUUUUCCGUCUCCAGACAAGAGAAAUCUUGGUCGCGACUAGACAAGCUUAAUUAAAGCAUUUCUGGAGAUAUCGUAAACGGUAAUUAGUUUAUUCGGAGUCCUUCGUUAUUUUAUUGGAAAAUGUUUGAUGACUCGUAAAAGCAACUCCUUAAGUGACUUGAAAGUGUCCGUUUCAACUAUGUGAUUGUGCGAGGCAAAGUGAUUGGUGUAAAGCAUCUAAGUAAAUUCUUUAGGUGAUUCAUCUGACUUACGGUUGCAUCGCCCAAAGUCAUUUAGAAUACCAAAAUACUCUCAAAAAAUUACUAUUUACAUACACAUUCUUAUAUAUAUAUAUAUAUAUAUAUNNNNNNNNNNNNNNNNNNNNNNNNNNNNNNNNNNNNNNNNNNNNNNNNNNNNNNNNNNNNNNNNNNNNNNNNNNNNNNNNNNNNNNNNNNNNNNNNNNNNNNNNNNNNNNNNNNNNNNNNNNNNNNNNNNNNNNNNNNNNNNNNNNNNNNNNNNNNNNNNNNNNNNNNNNNNNNNNNNNNNNNNNNNNNNNNNNNNNNNNNNNNNNNNNNNNNNNNNNNNNNNNNNNNNNNNNNNNNNNNNNNNNNNNNNNNNNNNNNNNNNNNNNNNNNNNNNNNNNNNNNNNNNNNNNNNNNNNNNNNNNNNNNNNNNNNNNNNNNNNNNNNNNNNNNNNNNNNNNNNNNNNNNNNNNNNNNNNNNNNNNNNNNNNNNNNNNNNNNNNNNNNNNNNNNNNNNNNNNNNNNNNNNNNNNNNNNNNNNNNNNNNNNNNNNNNNNNNNNNNNNNNNNNNNNNNNNNNNNNNNNNNNNNNNNNNNNNNNNNNNNNNNNNNNNNNNNNNNNNNNNNNNNNNNNNNNNNNNNNNNNNNNNNNNNNNNNNNNNNNNNNNNNNNNNNNNNNNNNNNNNNNNNNNNNNNNNNNNNNNNNNNNNNNNNNNNNNNNNNNNNNNNNNNNNNNNNNNNNNNNNNNNNNNNNNNNNNNNNNNNNNNNNNNNNNNNNNNNNNNNNNNNNNNNNNNNNNNNNNNNNNNNNNNNNNNNNNNNNNNNNNNNNNNNNNNNNNNNNNNNNNNNNNNNNNNNNNNNNNNNNNNNNNNNNNNNNNNNNNNNNNNNNNNNNNNNNNNNNNNNNNNNNNNNNNNNNNNNNNNNNNNNNNNNNNNNNNNNNNNNNNNNNNNNNNNNNNNNNNNNNNNNNNNNNNNNNNNNNNNNNNNNNNNNNNNNNNNNNNNNNNNNNNNNNNNNNNNNNNNNNNNNNNNNNNNNNNNNNNNNNNNNNNNNNNNNNNNNNNNNNNNNNNNNNNNNNNNNNNNNNNNNNNNNNNNNNNNNNNNNNNNNNNNNNNNNNNNNNNNNNNNNNNNNNNNNNNNNNNNNNNNNNNNNNNNNNNNNNNNNNNNNNNNNNNNNNNNNNNNNNNNNNNNNNNNNNNNNNNNNNNNNNNNNNNNNNNNNNNNNNNNNNNNNNNNNNNNNNNNNNNNNNNNNNNNNNNNNNNNNNNNNNNNNNNNNNNNNNNNNNNNNNNNNNNNNNNNNNNNNNNNNNNNNNNNNNNNNNNNNNNNNNNNNNNNNNNNNNNNNNNNNNNNNNNNNNNNNNNNNNNNNNNNNNNNNNNNNNNNNNNNNNNNNNNNNNNNNNNNNNNNNNNNNNNNNNNNNNNNNNNNNNNNNNNNNNNNNNNNNNNNNNNNNNNNNNNNNNNNNNNNNNNNNNNNNNNNNNNNNNNNNNNNNNNNNNNNNNNNNNNNNNNNNNNNNNNNNNNNNNNNNNNNNNNNNNNNNNNNNNNNNNNNNNNNNNNNNNNNNNNNNNNNNNNNNNNNNNNNNNNNNNNNNNNNNNNNNNNNNNNNNNNNNNNNNNNNNNNNNNNNNNNNNNNNNNNNNNNNNNNNNNNNNNNNNNNNNNNNNNNNNNNNNNNNNNNNNNNNNNNNNNNNNNNNNNNNNNNNNNNNNNNNNNNNNNNNNNNNNNNNNNNNNNNNNNNNNNNNNNNNNNNNNNNNNNNNNNNNNNNNNNNNNNNNNNNNNNNNNNNNNNNNNNNNNNNNNNNNNNNNNNNNNNNNNNNNNNNNNNNNNNNNNNNNNNNNNNNNNNNNNNNNNNNNNNNNNNNNNNNNNNNNNNNNNNNNNNNNNNNNNNNNNNNNNNNNNNNNNNNNNNNNNNNNNNNNNNNNNNNNNNNNNNNNNNNNNNNNNNNNNNNNNNNNNNNNNNNNNNNNNNNNNNNNNNNNNNNNNNNNNNNNNNNNNNNNNNNNNNNNNNNNNNNNNNNNNNNNNNNNNNNNNNNNNNNNNNNNNNNNNNNNNNNNNNNNNNNNNNNNNNNNNNNNNNNNNNNNNNNNNNNNNNNNNNNNNNNNNNNNNNNNNNNNNNNNNNNNNNNNNNNNNNNNNNNNNNNNNNNNNNNNNNNNNNNNNNNNNNNNNNNNNNNNNNNNNNNNNNNNNNNNNNNNNNNNNNNNNNNNNNNNNNNNNNNNNNNNNNNNNNNNNNNNNNNNNNNNNNNNNNNNNNNNNNNNNNNNNNNNNNNNNNNNNNNNAAAAAUAAGGUGAUAUAUAGUUCUAGAUUUACCUGAAGUUCAAGGCAUUUACUUGGUCUUACAAGUGGGAACUCGCUCGUUCUUCUUUGUUCAACCUUCAGCGUCCCUUGUCCAGAGGAAGGCAUGACCGUGGACGAGGACCAUCUCAUCAACUGAGCUCAGCUUUUUUAGUCAAUAAUUUUGCUCGCGCUGCACAGCUUUGAAUCUUAUUGCUUCCACGCCGUAGACCGAGAUCCAAUUCUUAAAUAAAUAAUAAAAAAAACUAGUUUUGACGAAACAUUUGAUCGGUGGACAAAGGGUUAACAUACGGAAUUUUAGAAAAUGCUCCAAAGUGGUCUUCAUUUAUCUACUACUACCGGCAAUUAGCAAUGCAAACGUAACAUAAUUUUUUUUUGUUGCAUGAAUAUCCUUCUAAAAUUCAAAUUUGUGUGAAAACUCUUUUAAAAUCUAUAUUUAUUUCUAUACCCUUAUAAAAACAUUAUUUUUUGCACAAAAGCUCCUAAUAUAACGGUUUUUCUGAUACCGUUAAUAAAAACCCUAUUUAUUCUAAUUAAAAAUAAAAUAAAAUUUUAAAAUUACUUUUUUGUCCUCCAUCAUAAUCGCCUUAUAAACGUUUUUUUUUAUACAUUUAUCUAUUAAGGAUAUUUUAGCCAUUUUAAUUUGAAACCGUUAAUUUUUUAACAACGUUAGAUGGCGUGGAUACAUAUGCAAAAAUAAGAAUAAAAAAAGGGUAAAAUAGCAAAACAAGUGUUUUACGAAGGUAUACCUGCAAAUAUCACUUUUGGAAGGGUAUUAGAAGGGUAUUCAUGCAAAAAAAAAACCCAUAAAAAAAGUUAAAAUAUAUUGUACAAAUAAUUAUAUAAAAUUUUGUAUAAAAUGCAACAAAAAUAAAUAAUAAAAAAAUGAAAAAUUAGAAAUGAGAUGUUUAUAUUUAAUACGAUGUAUGGCUAAAAUUUAUUAUAUCAAAAUGAAAGAACUUGACGGUUGAAAGUUAGAGAGAGAAACUGGGGUGUGUGUGGUCAAGAAUCUAAAGUCUAGAGAGAGAGAGGAGGGGGGUGUGGUUACUAGGAUAGACAAAAGUUUAGGGAGAAGUAAAAUUUGGAACUAUUAUUUACAUUUGUUUNNNNNNNNNNNNNNNNNNNNGUAGAGAGAACUAGGGUGGUGUGUGGUCGAAGAAUACUAAGUACUAGAGAGAGAGAGAGGGGGGUGUGGUUACUAGGAUAGCAAAAUUUAGGGAGAGAAAAAUUUGGAACUAUAUUUUACAUUGUUUCUUGUAGAUUUACAUAAUUAUCCCUUGAAAUCAGAAUUAUGAACCAAACUUUUUUAAUAAGUAAUAUGAGAAACCUCUAUUAAAUAAAAACUUUGCACCAUAUUCUCUCUAAUUUUAUUAGUAUGGUAUAACUUUAAUGCAAACCUUAAAUGCUGGACAUAUUUGAGAUCUAUUUUGGUAGAAAAAUUAAUUUUGUAUGCCCUCUAAACAAUCUUGAAAAUGAGAAAACGGGUAAACUUCAAAGUUUUAGGAGCCAUGAAUGGUAAAAUUGAUAUUUUAGCCCCAAAUUAAAAUACCAAUCCUUGUGUAUCAUUUUUAUUAUCCAGCUAUAUUAUACAACUCUGGUGUAAAUACAUGCAUUGGAGUUGGAAAGCAAAAGAUCAUUGAAGCUGCAUGGGAACAAAGGAGAUGGAGUCCUAGAGAAAUGCAUGAAAUGCAAUAACAAACAUGAUCAAUAGCCUAGAUAAUACUAUGAAUUCCUAUUGAAUGAUUUCUUUAAUAGGCUACGAAUCAACCUAUUGUUGGAUUCUGUUUUCUCAAUAUAUAUUUUGUUAUUUUUAAUAGUGUACUUGACCAUUGUUUAGCUGAUUUUUGAUGAAUUAUAAGUUUAAUAUUACACUUGAUAAAGACAUAUUGUGCAUUUUUUUUUUCAAUUGAGCAUUAGUUAGGACAAUUCUUAGAAGUGUUAGCUAAGUUUUGAUUUACUUUUACUAUUAAAGAAUGCUAGAACAAAAUACUACAUGUAACUGUAGUUUCAUUUGAAUUAUGCCUAGUUUCUUCAUCUACAUGCAAAAGGUACGGUUCUCAUUGAAUUUUCUUAUAUUAGAAUUAGAUCACUACUUUGAUUUCAAAUUCUAACCUUCACAUUAAGAACUUGGAAGACCAUAUAAAAUAAUUUGGAUUUAAAACUAAACAAAUUUAAACAAAGCUUUGAACAUUUUUUACAGAAUCAAUGGGUACAUAGAUCAAUUGAUGCUUAUUACGCUUUCAACAUAUGGCUAUUAUUUCAAUUUUUAACCUUUACAGUGGCUUUCGACUUCAAUACCUAUAUAUAAAUGUGUUCUAAUACAAGUUUUCCAAAUUGUUAUGCUGAGGUACCAGUUCUAUCCUUAUUUACAGUUCCUCAUCCAUUUGAUGUCUCAAAUUUAUAUGAUGAAAAAUAAUUACCACAUUUUGAAUAUGUCUUAGUUCACUUCUUAUAUAGAAAAUGUGAAUAUAGCACAAAAAUAUUUAAUAUAAAUUUUGAAGUGUAUUUUGUGAUUGACAUAGUUGUUAAUUGUUUUUAUUUGAUCAUAUAUAUGAUGAAUGCUAAUAAUUUUAAUUUCUUUAUGUGUGUGUGAGUCUCUCUCUCUCUCUCUCUCUCUCUNNNNNNNNNNNNNNNNNNNNUCUCUCUCUCUCUCUCUCUCUCUCUCUCUCUCUCUCUCUCUCUCUCUCUCUCUCUCUCUAUAUAUAUAUAUAUAUAUAUAUAUAUAUAUAAAAUAUAGAUAUAUAGAUAUAUCUAAAUAUAUCUGACCUAAAACAAGUUAUAACUAGUCCAAGUUUUCUUGUUGACUCGCUCAAGCUUUUUUUUUUUCAUGAUUACGAGAUAGUCAUGCUACCUUCUCAAAUAAACAGCUACACAUCUCAAGACAUGGAAAUCCUUCAACAUAGUCAUCUACAUUAUUGCAGCUGGUUUCCUGGUCAGCUAUUAGUAAUCUGAUUACUGGAAUCAAUUUUUUAGCACUAUUCAUUUGAUUCCAAGUACUGUGGUUUUAAACCAUAAUUAUUAGCGAAAUUUUUAUAUAAAAACAUUAAAUAUGCUUGUUAACUAAGAAUGAACUACUCAUUCGAUUAUUAGUACAGAUUUAAUCAUACAUAAUCAUGGUGUACUUAGUUUAAGUUGUUAUUUUCUAAAGAAUGGGUUGAGUUAUUACUCUUAGGCUCCAUUAUUUCUGGUAUUUAUAAACCUCUAAAGCUUAAAUUAUAUUUUGGUUGAAUUAUCUUGAAGGGGGAACUUAGUGUGUCGAGCCCAACUAUUUGUAGAACAAAAGGCUAGGGUUGAUACUGGAAUUUAAUCAUUUCAAUUGUUCAAGGUCGGUCCAAAAAGGCAAAAUUCAAUUAUUCAAUUCCUAAAGUAGUUUUGACCUGCUUGGAUUUGGGUCGACCGAGACUAUAUUCAAAAAAAUUAUGGUCCCAAUUUUACUUGAAGUCUUCAACGAGAUGGAUUACUUUCGAUAAUACUGAGACUUGCUCUAACUUAGAAUUUUUGGAUCUCGAUUUGCGGCAAGAGCUUUAGCUUGCAUCAUGGGAUGAAGUGAGCCAUAUAAAUUUGAUUUUUAGGUUUGUAGAAGACUUUCUAACCAAUUACAAUCAAGUUAGAUCCAAAUCUUAUGGCCAACUAGUCCAUCCUAUCAUGAGACUGAAAUCAAAUUGCGCUAAAAGCCAAGAUAUCAUUCUUGCCCAACGCACAUGUCAGGAAAGAUUUAUUUAUCAAGUUAGACUUUGGACUUUAUGAAUGACAUUGGCAUUGUUCUUAUGUAACCAUAGUCAGGGUCAAAGUUCGUAGAAUUAGAAAACUUGUUGCUUUGUCUUUCCUUCUUUAGGACCCCAAAACUUCACCUUGUAUUCAAGGCUCUAAUGAUCAUCUCAAUCCUACUAACAAAUUCAGGCUCAAAAAAUAUCUUGUCAUAAUGAUUAUUUAUGUUUAUAAGAAGCAUUUUAGUAACAACAUUUCUUUUUUAAAAUUAAUUCUGAAUCUAACUUAAAGAAGUCACAGUGCCUCACAAAUCAUCUCGUAGAAAUGACAAAAGAAUUCCUCAUGUCAAAUAUUUGGAGAAACACUCAGAGAUAUAUCACAUUCGUUUGUGGAAGAUGAGAAAACUAAGCAUAGUUAUUGGAAACAAUAAAAUAAAUUAUAAUGAUAUAUCGGAAAUAUAAUUUUUUAUUGCUUGAGUAAAAUUGGGUGUUGGAUACAAGUCAUCUUGCUUUGAGUCUAUCCUCAUCUUAAUUUUGGUAAGAUAUUUUUUUGCCCCAACAAAGUAAAAAAAAAAACCUUUUCUUUUAAAAAAACAUUACGAGCCAUCUAAUGAAGAAACAAUGUUCAAUGCAUCGCUUCAACAUUGCCCUACCAAGCUGUGCCAUGCCAAGAAAUUUGCUUUCCAUGACAAGAAAAAAGAGAAAAAAGAAAAAAAUUAGAAAUCCCUUUUUAACCAUAAAAUUUUUGCAAAAGAUUUGACAGAUUGGUGUAUACCUAUAUCGAGCGUUGAUACUAGCCCAACACAAUGCUUGCUGGCUAGCACCUGAAACCAUCUACUAGCUAAUACUAUUUUUUUGCAUCUAAACAAUAUGCAAGUUUUAGUAAGCAUUAAGUGUUUGAAAACUAGCAUCAUCAUCAUAAUAAAAAAUCAAAAUAAAAUAAAAUUCUAUUUUUUUCUCCAAAAAUAACAAUUUACUUAGUAGAAGCCUACAUUGUCUCUCAUUUGAUAGUAUAUCAAUUACAAUGCACUUAUACUUGUUCAGUUGCUCUAAUUAAUUUAUGGAUAAAAAAAAUUCUUUGAUAGAAUUCAUUUAUCUAUCAUUCAUUGUAAAAACAAAUCAUUAAAAUUUUGCAAUAAGCAAGCUCAAAUAAAUAAAUAUGUUAUCAAGGUUUCUAGGGAGAAGAAAAGUGGAAACCAACUUUUGUGAUUCAAGAAAUUAAAAAAAAAAAAAGGACUCAGCUGGUUUAGUUGUGUGCCAUGCACUCCUAUCUGUACUGGACAAAUACACCACUAGAUGAGCCAAGGUAAAAUAAUUUCAAACACCAGAACUUAGUACAUAAAACUUCUACUUUGGCAGUAUCUAUAAGAACAGUGCAUAUGGAGCAAUAUGGUGCAACAGGGCACUUUAAAUGUGGAUGUAAUAUAAAUUGGAUAGCUGCAAGAAAGAACUAAAAGGAGUGAUAAAGAAUUAAAGCAGCAACAAGAAUCACUUUCAUUAGUUAGUGGCAGUUUGAAGAGAACAAAGAACAGAACUGAAAACAUCAUGAAGUCAACAAGAAGUGAAUCAUGAAGUUCUUGUGCAAAGACAUCGUUUACAUUGUUCUAGAUUUCUAGGGAUAGACAAGAAUAUCACAUCUCAUGGACUAAAAUAAUUUAGAAGUCAGAUUAAAGCAUAUCAGAUUAGGACUGAUCCUAAGAUGCCUGAGACAAAGAUAAAGAUUUUGAUAGCCCUUGUGCUAAACACUAACAAAGAACACACCACUGGUCAGUGAAAAGAAGGCUAGCAGAAACAUACAUGAAUCUAAUCAAGCGAGGCUAAAAAUUAGUCAAAUACAACUACAAUAAAAGAGAAGAGGAUGAAUAACUUAAGUCUUAAUACUAAGAUGUGCUUCAAACUCAAAAGCAGAAGCAGGAAAAAAGGAAAUGCCAAUUUACAUUCAACAAUAACAUGUAUUUUGAGAUACAGGGCCAAGGGAGCUAAGGCUAUGUGCUUUAGUAUGUAAGAUGAGAAUGAUAGCCUGAAACAUAUACUUAAGAAUCAAAGAACAAAUUUUAAAUUUUUGCCUGAUAUAUUAAUAAAUACAAUAGUGAGGUGUACAUAAUUAAACAUAACAACAGUACAAAAGAACAAAGAUACUAAUUUAAGCGCUUAUACAAGUUAUCACAUCAAAUCGAAAGGGAAAAGAAAGAAUAAUAUAUAUAAGAAUGUGAGGUAGUGUUAUCUCAAUGCAAUGGAUCAUUUGCAUCUGUUGCUGGAAAUUGGACCCGGAGGCGGACGUCGGCUGAGAGGGUGGAGCUCCGGCGAGAACUGGCGGGCGGCGAUCCGUCGGCGGGCGGCGUCAUCCGUAGGGCCUGCAAAAAAGCCGGUGGCCGGGGUUUCCGAUGCCGGCCCUCCAAUGCCUAAGUCAGAGGGGGGCAAAAGUAUAGGGGGAAAAUGUAUAUCCAGAGUUUCAGCGUCCAGCCCCCUCUAAGGUGGGAGGGUUCCCCUUUUAUAGAGGGGUACUGGAUUGCCUGUGAUAUGACGGGGCGGAGUUACCGUAUGAUUGAGCAUGUCGUAUGAAUUAAUGCAGGAUUGUGUGAAUUAAUGCCUUGCCGUAGGAGAUUAGGCCGGGGCCAAGGAGCUGUCAUGGCUGAUCAGACGCAACCGAGCGGAUUUGCCGUGGAGGGCUUAAGAUCCGUAGAUAGCAAAAGCCAUGCGUAUUAAUUGUUGAGUAAGCCGGAGGUCUGCAGAGUCCAUGCGCAUUAAUUGUUGAGCAAGCCGGAGGUCUGCAGAGUCCAUGCUCAUUAAUUGUUAGUGGCGGUGGCAGGGGAUGGUCUCUGGUUGAGCUGCAGAAGGAUGUGACCGCGGCAGGUGGAUGGUGAGGUCAGGCUUCCGAGGUCGGGAGCUCUCAGGUCGGGUGCCUGGUCAGACGCCAGGUCGGGCGUUUGAGGUCGGGCGCCUCUGAUUACGUGCUGGUGAUGUACUCACAUGCUUUGGGGGGACCUGUAUUUCCCCCAACAGCAUCUUUUGCCCAUUAAGAGAUUUCACAACAUCUUCUCCUUCUCUCCGAAAGACAAAUAUUCNNNNNNNNNNNNNNNNNNNNNNNNNNNNNNNNNNNNNNNNNNNNNNNNNNNNNNNNNNNNNNNNNNNNNNNNNNNNNNNNNNNNNNNNNNNNNNNNNNNNNNNNNNNNNNNNNNNNNNNNNNNNNNAAAAAUACUUAUUUUGCUGUUCUAUCCCUUUUUUAUCUUUAUUUUUGUAUAUGUACCUACACCAUCUAAUACCGUUAAAAAAUUAACGGUCUUAAAUUAAAAUAACUAAAAUACCCUUAUUGGUAGAUGUGCAAAAAAAAUUAUUUAUAAGAUGAUCGUGAUGGGGACAAAAAAUAAUUUCAAAAUUUUAUUUUAUUUUUAAUUAAAAUAAUAUGUUUUUAAUUAAUGGUAUUAGAAGAAUCGUUAUAUCAGGAGUAUUUGUGAAAAAUAAUGUUUUAUAAAAAUAUAAAAAUAAAUAUAAAUUUUAAGAGACAUUCAUAAAUUUGCAUUUUUAGAAAGUAUUCAUGCAAAAAAAAAAAAUUCCAUCGCUACGAGGUGAGAGAAUAUUCCAAGAACAACUCACUCGGAGCAGCGGAUAAGCGCACCGCUUCCGCAGCGGAAUCUCGGCUCUCGCCUCCUCGCCCUUCUAACGGUCACUAUUAUCCCUAACCCCACUCCCACUCCACCAAGUCCCCCCCUCCUUUCUCUUGUUUUUUCUCUUCCCUCCCUCCGUCUUUUUGAAGGCCCCCAACCCCAGCGUCUUGAAACCCUAGUCAAGAGAGAGAAGCCGAGAGAGAGAGACGAAGAACGCAGGAUUCGAUGGCAAACGCGAACGGACCGAUGGGAGAGGAAGGGCGAUCGAUCCCGCAGACGACGAAUCCGAUGGUGACCCCUCUCCUCACGGAUCUCUACCAGUUCACCAUGGCCUACGCCUACUGGAAGGCCGGCAAGCAUCUCGAUCGAGCCGUGUGAGACUUUCCUUUCAAUCCCUCCCCUAUCCUCUCCUCUUCUUUGAUUGGUUCUUGAUACUGGAAUUGAAUUGUCUUCUUGGUGAUAAUCUGGUGUUCUGCCCAAUGAUUUGAGUUCUUUCUUAUCUUAAUUAUAUAGCCAUUUGCUUCUCUGACCGUGAGUGGGUUCUACUUAUAACAAGAUUCUUUUAAUUAUAUCAGAUUUAUACCAAGAUUCUCUUAAUUGUACUCUUUGAAUUUUGUGGGGGCUUUCUCAGUCGUCUUCUGUAGAGACCUCUCUUUGUCCAACAUUACCAACAUUAAUUUUGAUACGUAAACGUUAUGCUUGCUUAGUUGAGAGGGGCUUGCUGUGUGAAAGGAUGUUUUUUCCCCUAACAUACAUUUCUUGUUUUCUUCUUUUUAUGUUCUUCCAUUGUCUUUCUCGUAUUGGAAAUGCAUGGAUUUUAAGAUUUGAAGGGGUUAGUGUCUAUUAUCCAACAUAUGCUUAUGAAUUAUAAUGGUGAAUUAUUGAAUAAAACUUCAACAAGGAAUUUCAAAAGAUGAUGAAUGUUGUUACUAUGGUUCUUUAGAAGGACUUGGAUGUUUUAUUGGUAAAGUAAAAUAAUUUAUUUGAUAAUUAGGCACAGAGUGGUAUUUUUCAUUCUGCAUUUUUCCUAAUGGAGAAAUAUCAAAGCAGUUGUUUGUGAGAUGUCAUACGAUUGCGGUUAUAAGCUCGUUUACAUCGCACCAAUUUCUUGUCAGGCAUCUAGUUCAUUACGAGGACAUGGUUCCACAUAAUUAUUUUGUUUCACUGAAUAUCUUGCAGUGCAAUUAUUAGUAUAUGAAAAAACAAGUAUCACUGCAUAUGCGCAUAGCUUCAUUCCUUACUCUUGUAGAGUUGAAAGCUUACGAUGUUCAAUGACAUGAUUUAUGACAAAAUCAGAAGUUGAAUAUGGUUUGAUAAACCUGCAUAGUUCUUAACUUACAAAUUUAAAAGAAUACCUUGGACAGGCUACAUAUGAUUUACUGUAGGUUUGUAAAAAAGCUCUCAAAAUAUAGCAUCUGUUUCAUGAAUAUGUCACUACAAGAUUUGUGGAAGUUUCAAUGCAAUGAUUUAUCAAUUACAUAAUAAGAUAUUAAUGGAGUAUAGGCUAUGGCUUAUCUAAAUCUGCAGUUAAUGUUUAGACUUCUUUAUAUGUUUGAGACACCAAGGAUUAGUCUGUUUGUUUUGUAGAGAAGGUUGGAUUUUUCAUUCCAUUUCCUGGAUCAUUUCCUCACUUAAUAGACUGAUCUAGUACAGCUGGGGAUAGGGCUGCAUAUGUCCAAUGUGGACCUUGAAAGGUUAGGGUUUUAGAGGGGAAAAAAUUCUAUGAUCUGCUGUAGAAAGUUGGAAUUAAUCGCAAGAUUAGGAGGAAAACAAGGAUCAAUAGUUCUUUUUGAAGGUUUCUAGUGUCGAUAAGUAGUGAUAUAUAGUUACCUUCUAAGGUUUUCUAAGGUUUUACGAACAGGAAAAAGCUUUCAAUGUGUUUUCUUGCAUUGAUAAGGGAGGCAACUACUGGCCUUAAGGGAUCAAAGAAGUGCAAAAUAAAUUCAUAGCGAAAACAAAAAUAUUUAAAUUAAGCUCAGGUAUAACUGCAGAAAACAAAAAGUAGACAGAAAGACCAAUAGAAAGAAAAAUAGAAGAAUGUAGAAUAAAGAGAGCAGCACGCAGAUGAACAACUAUUAACAUAGUUGCUUGGCACCUCAUCCCUAAGGGCUUGCCUUUCAAGAGGUCCAGGUUUCAAAUCCUGGAUAUUAUUGCUCAGAGAGAGAGAAAGCGAGCAGAAUUGGACAAAGGAUGAAGAACAAAGGAAGGGGAGAGGGAAACAGCCAAUUUUUGGCCAUCUUCUUUCCUUCAAUCAAAUUAACUCAAGUACCAUUUCUAAAGAUAGAAGAUUACAAGUUUACAACCUUCAUACAAACUCUAAAUCCAAAAAUAUUAACAACUUCUAGCCAUUAAUAAAAACAUGAGAAGAUAAAAUCUAAAAGACAAAAAGGUCUCUUAUAAAUUUCCAAUACAGUACCAUGAACAGUCCCCUACUACAAUGCUGCAAGGUACCUGUGAAUAGUGCCUGCUUCAAUGAUGAAAAGCCUCCUUAAACAUUACUGGAAAUCCUCCUAAAAAAUACGGACUUUUGGAAUCUUCAAAAUGUGAAAGUAUGGGUCAGUGGAUGAAAAUUAGAGCUUCAGGGUACAUUGGUCUUGUGCCUAGAACUAGGAUGCAACCUGAAAGAAUGCUUUCGCAUCACCUGCACCUAAGCAAUGAAAUCUUGGACCCUGCAUCUGGUUAUUUAGGCACACAGACACAGGUAUAGCUAUCACUAUGGUAUCCAGCUGGCAGAAUAAGUUGGCAAUACUAAGAACUUCUUUUAAUGUUUGUGAAUCUAAUUAGAUUAUGUUAUAUACAUUUUUGAGACCACAGAUUUGCUGUAGCCUUAGCUUCGUUAUCUUUCUAUAUGCUAGUUUUUAGGAUGCUCCUUAGUUGAUUCGCUGUUUUACUUCAUUAUCUCAGAUGUUGGGUAUUUCUAUGGAAGGAUUUGUUGACAAGUAUAUUUCAAGCUACAUUUGCUAUAUCUUUACAUUUGUGUCAGGUUUGAUUUGUUCUACCGAAAAAAUCCGUUUGGUGGUGAAUACACGGUCUUUGGUGGUCUUGAAGAAUGCAUAAGACUUAUUGCUAAUUUCAAAUUAAAGGAAGAGGAGAUCUCCUUCUUGCGCUCAGUCAUGCCUACAUGUGAGGUAUGGUUUGCAAGUCAUGCAGCUAAUUUCUAUUUCAUACUUUAAUAACAACUAAGUACAAGCAUAUUAUCUAGGAAUGGAAAGCAUGUCUCAAUCUAGCUGUUUAUAAAGAAUCCUUGAGUUUCUCUCGUUAGAUUUUUCUGUGAGGUCAUUUAAUUUAAUAUAAUCAGCUCUAUUUCUUUACUUUUAGGCUGUGUUUGGUUCCUAAAUAAUAUUACCAGCAUACUUAGAUAAUUGUAUUCAAAUAGGUACUUAUUCCUUGUUUAUCAGCUAAAACUAUUCAGUUCCUUGCCCUCGAAUGGUUUUAAACAAGUUAAAACUGAACAAGUACCAAAAAGAUGCUUUUCAGUUUUGAAAUCCAAAAAGUGCCCCUCAUUAUGGGGUUUUAUUCAAGAGCCAAAGAACUUGUUUGGCUGAAUAAAACUGAAAAGGUGAAUGUUAUAUAAGUUAUUCAUGUUUAUUUGGAUCCAGAUAAGACAAUUAAACCAGGGUAACAAUAAGAACCCAUGUAUGGAAAAUUAUCCCAGACCACCACCACCGAUAACUGAAAAUGGAUAUUUUUGCCGGCUAAUUAGUGUUAUCCGAGUUUCCUUUCCAACUUAUGUUUUGUAGGUUGAAUUUUGGAUUCUCCAGUCCCAUUAGAUUGAAGAAAUAUCCUCUCAUAUUGAUUUUUGAAAUAAAGAAAAUCCUUUUUGUUGCUUCCAAAAUUGUUCUUCAAUUGACGGAACAAGAUCUACCAGCUCUUAAGCCCUCAAACUUUAAGAGUUAAGGAAGACAUGGCAUCUUUUUCAUAUGAACUGCAUGAAAUGAUAUGCAGAUUUAUCUAUUAAUUAAACAAUAUACGAACCAUAUUUCAGGCACGUGACAUCCAUCAAUUUAAAGUUUGUUGAGAUGUGGUCCUGUUACUAUAAAUUUUCUUAGAUGACAGUUAAUAUUAGAUUGAAAGUAGGCAUCUUUUUCAUAUGAACUGCAUGAAAUGGUAUGCAGAUUUAUCUAUUAAUUGAACAAUAUAUGAAUCAUAUCUCAGGCAUGUAACAUCCAUCAAUUUAAAGUUUGCUGAGAUGUGGUCCUGUAACUAUAAAUUUUCUUAGAUGACAGUUAAUAUUAGAAUUUUAGGUCAAGAACUUUCUAUUCAUCAUAUUCUGGUUCUCAUCUAUAGUUUGCUUUCAAGAAACUUUAGUUCAGAAAAUGAAAACAGUACAAAAUAUUGAGAACCAGUGUCUGUAAGAAAUUUCUUUGAUGAAUGGAAGGUCUUGAGAAAUACAAGAAAGAAAUAAUUUAGAGUGCUUGUUGCAGAAUGGAAGGCAAAGAGAAUAGAAGAGAAAGAAUAGUAUCUUAACAAAUACAUAUAAGAUAAUGAUAACACAAGGAUCAUUGCAUAUAUGCAAGUCAAGUGUAGUGUGGCUGAGAAAAAACACUACCAAUCUUUGACUUGUGGCAAUAUUUGAAUUCCUUUUUCAUCUUUGUUUUUGUUUCUGCAAGUUGAGAGAUUAUUAUAACUGCACUGUGUAUACCAAUUAACUCUUAAUUUUUGUUGUAUUAAUAGCAUACGAGUUUAAGCAACCUUUUUAGUUAGUAAAUGCAUUAUGAUACAAGUUUAUGUUCACUCCAGAAUGCCACUCUUACUUAAAACAUUUGUUGAAAAUAUUUUUUUUCAGGAUGGUUUCUUUGACUAUCUCAGGGCAAUUGAUUGCUCAGAUGUUGAGGUUUAUGCUAUUCCUGAGGGCUCUGUUGUGUUUCCUAAAAUACCUUUAAUGAGAAUAGAAGGACCAGUUGCUGUGAGUACCUUUAAAUAGCUGCCAGUUUUCUGGAUUUGCUAGAUCUUUAAUUAUGGAUCACAUUUUAGUAUGUCAUUUCAUGAUAUGGUUGCAUGAAGUUGUGCUUUUCGAUGCUAUUAUUCUAAUGACACCUAUAAGUGCAAUGAUAUUUCCCAGGUGGUACAGUUGCUUGAAACUCCAUUUGUAAAUCUUGUCAAUUAUGCCUCAUUAGUUACUACAAAUGCUGCAAGACACCGAUUUGUUGCAGGAAAGUCAAAAAAUUUGCUUGAAUUUGGGCUUCGACGGGCACAAGUGGGUUUCUUGUUUGCUUGUCUUUUCCUUUUUGUCAAAGCUUUAUGAAUAUCUAUCUUAUUAUAUUUUUCUUUCUCAAUCUUAUGCUCAGGGGCCUGAUGGAGGCAUAAGUGCUUCAAGAUACUGCUAUAUGGGAGGUUUUGAUUCAACAAGGUUUACUCUAUUGAAAAAAUCAAUGCCAUGUCGUAGGGGUCUUACCGUUCUAACUUUCGAUGUGCUUAAAUGGCCUCAUCUAUUUGGAUCUUUAUAGGAAACUUACCAUAUCCACAUUAUGCAAAUGAGUGUAAAAUUCGUAGUGCUAACUUUUGACAAUUUUAUGACAUGAAUUGCUUUUAGCAGAAAGCUAAACAUAAUAAAUUGACCCUAAGAUAAACCUGAUUAGACACUGCUGCAAAAGAGUUGAAGAAGUAAACUAUGCUGUAAUGACCCAGGACAUCACCUAAAAGAACAAACCAGAAGGUAUUAUUUAAGUUUCCUGGCCCUGUAUAAGUACCCAAAAUCUCUCCAGCACGUAACCAAUGUGGGACUAAACACAUGCUCGCACGAGACAUCAUACGUGCAAAACUUUAGGUACAAGGCCUAUCUGUGAUUCCCUCCCCUCCUGUCUAGCUGAGUACAAAAGGAAAAACAAAUAAGGAGAAGAAACUAGAACUCCUUCAUUUUCGCUUGAAGGCAAUAAACUAUGACAGUAAAACAAUAACAAAGGUAAAAAAGAAAUAAGGAGAAGAAGAGAUUUAGAAGCGGAUGAGUAGAAAGAAGAGAAGAAUUUUUUAAAAGUGAGAGGAGAAAGUUCUAUGGCUUGCUUUAAUCUGGUUAGAUAUCUCAACUGCUGAUCUUUUUAAGCAAUUAGUAAUAGGGCAACUACUUAUUCAUGCAAAACUAGCAAAAUAUGUUUAAUAAUCUGGCUGGUCAUAUAAAACCUGUUACACUACUUACAAUGGACCUAGAACCCGUUAGUUAAGGCCCGCUAACAGCAAACUGUAUCGAACGCUAAUUGUGUUAUAGAACAUUUCAAACGGAAAGUACAUGAUGGAAAAAAAUUAAAAAUCUCCAUCAUUCUUAAGUUGGACUUAGUGCCUUCAUAGGGAGAUGAACCCCUUUGCAAAAGAAAGAAUUAUUGAAAAAACAAUAGUACAGAGAUGUGCGUAAUUCUGCAAUUGCCAAUAUUGGAAGUAUGAUUGAUGAGAUUCUAACAUAUAUUUUUAUAAGCCUUAAAAAAAUAAGAUAGUCCUAGGACCUAGACAGAAACUAAAAGCUUGUCAAAGAAACUGUUAUUUGUCUCAUUGAUAAAAUAAAAUAUUCCCCCAUAAGUAAUUUAUAAAUUAAUUCCAUGGACAAACUUAGUCAAUGUACUAGUUAAAGAAACAUUAAAUUUUUCUGAUUUGCAUAAGAAUCCACAAGGGAAAUUGAAAAUUUACAAAUUAUCAACAAUUUACAGACCCUAGAAAUAAAUUAAUUAUCUUUUUAAUAUAUUAUUAUGUAUGACCAUUUAUAUGAAUUAUUUUAGAGUUCUUUUUUUUGAAAGGGAAAGAGAGAGUGAACCCCCUAGCACUUUAAAUUCUAGUAUUCACAAGGUACAGAUUUUAUAUUAUUCAAUUUAAUAAAUCUUUGAAUAAGAUAACUUAUCCUUAUUUUUUUUAGUAAGAUAAAAUAUUAGUGGAUAAGAUUAUAGAGAUGAUCUUAAUUUCAAUUUUUAAAAUUGUUUUUCUUAGAUAGUGCAAAUAUGAUAGCCACUUCUAUAAUACAUGACAUUAAUAGCAAGCCAUACAACAUCUUGGAUCAACAGUUUCUUAAAAAUAUUUUUGAUAUUAGUAUUUUUUUAUGUAUGUUCUAUAUUGACUUAUUCUAAUUUGGUUUUUUAGAAUCUUGUAAUAUAAGUAAAUACAUCAUUUAGUUAUAUAAAUAGAAACCUAACAUUGCUAAGAAAAUAGUUUCAAUAUAAAUUCACUCUUCUGAUGCUUAUCAAACCAAUUAUUUGUUUUGACUAUCUAUCUACCACUUUUGUGGUACUUGACAUAUUCUUUGACCCUAUAAAGUGUUUGUGUAGUUUUCUCUAGCUUUGACCAUUAACUCUAGUCAAUGUUAAAUCACUAACCCUUGGGUUGAGUUCUGAUAGUGUUUCACCAUUAAUUUUGUUUCUCCAACCUUCUUAGGUCAUAAAGCCAUUAAGCCAUUUUUGUUUUCUUCCCCAUUUUUCUUUUACUAUUUUACUCCCGACACAAUCUCCUUUCACUGUGCUUAAUCUGCUUGACCUUAACAAUAUACGUCAAACAUGUCUUUUUAUUAUUUAUGCUUCAUGAGCUUUCAUGCAAAUUUAAUAUUUGAAUGCAUCUUCAGGCUGAAAUAGCAUAGCAUGCUGUACUUGCAUGUAGAUCUUGCUCAAUUAUCUCUUAGUUAUCUGUUUUCCCUGUAUUUCUGUUUUUUUGGAUGCUUAUCACUAUUGAUUUGAAUGAUUUUGCUAUGUUUUUUAAGUCCUUAUCUCAUUUUAUUUCAACAGUAAUGUUGCAGCUGGAAGGCUCUUUGGUAUACCACUUCGCGGAACUCAUUCACAUGCCUUUGUUAGCUCCUACAUGGUUGGUACUAAUACAUUAUAGUGUAUAACACCUAUAAUGCGAUCUUAGGUGUGCGAUUAUCAAAAUAUUGUAGGAAUGAUCAUGAGAAUGCCUUUUUGCAUUAGCUUGGAAUCAAUGGUUCUUGGCAGUCAUAUUAUCUCUUAUAAACCUGAUAUUAUAUUGGAUAUUCUACUAUAAUCAAUAUCAUAAUUAUUUGGGAUAUAUGGCGAUUUUGUUAUGCAAGUCAAUAUGUUGUGUAGAGCUGAUCACGGGCCUUUUGGCCCGCCCAGCCCGGCCCGGAAUUUUUCAGACUUGGGCAUUAAAAAAAGGCCCAUGGGUCGGGCCUGGGCAAGAAAAGCGGCCCGACCAAAAAAAUCGGGCCGGGCUUGGUCGGGCCAUUCUGGCCCAUUUCCAUAUUCCAAACAAAGAAAAAAUCGGGCCUGUCGGGUCGGGCCGGGCUAGACGAGCCUAGAACCAGAUUUAUAAAGUCGGGUCGGGCCUGGACAAAAAUUUAAGCCCGACAGUCGGGCCGGGCCGGGCCUGGGCAUAGCCAUCGGGCCUAAUUUCUGCUGUAGAGCCCGGCCCGGCCCGGGUUUUGAUCAGCUCUAAUGUUGUGGUAUUCCAAAGUAGUUAAAAUUCUUUUACAUCUGGAAUAACUAAAUGGGAUAAGACUUUUGAUCUUUUGCACUCAGUUGCCUGGAGAUGGAUGGUAAAAGUACCUCAUGAUAGGGUUUUGUAUUUGAUGUGCAUGAGAAAUUAUACAUUAGGUUAAUUUAGGUUCUAUUGUGUGUAGGAGGCUGAGCUCUAACUGUUGGAUGGUAAAAUUGUUUUUUUAAAGUGAGGAGCAUAGAUUGAAUGUUUUCUAUGUUGAAGUAGGUCUUAGGAAUGAAGAUGUGCUUGCAAAGGGUUUGGAGGAGGUAUAGGUGUAGAUGGCAGGGAAUCCAAGGAUGCUAUAGAUUUGUGCUUAAGAUGCACUAGCAAAUGAAAUGACAAAUGAUGGAUGGGUACCAUAAAUGAAUGGGGGCCAAUAGUCCUUUAUACAUUAGAAGUGCUUUUUGCGUGAGAUUCACUUUUCAUUGUGAAGAAUAAAAUGUGUCCCAUGCUGUCUGAUGUCACCGAUGAGUUGAUUUAGUUAAGUGGAGGGGAGAUCUUGGAAAAUAUUCAAUACCGUGAUGGAGGACAGUUGAAAGAAUGGUCUUCAUUUAGGAAAACAUUCUAUAAUCAUGUCAUUGAUCACUUACAUAAAGACUGAGAAAAGUAAGAAGUAUUAAAAGAGGUCAAGCUGAUUCCGUAGUACCAAGAAACUUCUGCCUUAGUUGUUACAACAUCUCUUUGGAAACUCGUUCCUGCACCCACUUUUUAUGUGUUUCCUUUUCUAAAUCCCUUUGAGUGAUCCAAUUCCCUACACCUCCAUCCACUCCUGCUUCAUUAAUGUGGCAAGAUCGGGCAUUUGAAAAUGUCACAUGUAGGCUAUGAGAUUGGGUGUCAUUUCUCAUAUGAUUGUAUCAUUAAACCAGUUUCUUUUUGCCAAUUAACUUGAGCAAUAGGGUGUCUGAGUACUUUUAUUUUGAAUUUAAUGGGGUUGUGCUUGUAAAUUAGGUUGACUUUUUCACAAACUAAUGAACAUUUGUGUUGAAGUCAAGCUCUGUAAUUUUGAUUCUGGGUUAAGCAGGCUAUAUUCCCUAUUUCAAUCACUUGAUUUGUGGAUCUGAGUUGAUGAUUGUUGGGUUAUUGAUUGACAAGAUUUUUUCAUGUCGGAUAUUGGGUGGUUGAUUGACAAGAAUUGUCCUUAUCAAAUAAAGAUGACUGGUGAUUUUCUUUUUUUGGAUUUUACUUGAAGAAUCAGGAGCAUGAGUCACAAUCAUCAUUUUUAAGAGCUAAACAAUAGAGUAAUGAGUGAGGUGGCUUCUAAUGUGCUAUGCUAGUGUAGCACUAAGAAUGAUCAUGAGUCAUCCCUUGCAGCAGAAAGGGUCUUCAUGGAAGAACAUGCUUGGUGGACCACUUUAUGGGACAUCUUGCAUUCACAUACAUUUUUCAUCAGCAUGACAUCGGUUUGGCCCCACGAAAUACACAUACUAUGCUUUGUGAACCUAGUUGAUGUCAUGUUGAUGAAAAAGUUAUGACACCUUAGUUUUCCCAUGGGGCAAGUAUGUAUGUACAGUUUGUCCUCCUAGCAUUGCUUUCAAGUGCAGCUCAUGUGUUAGAUGAUGAUAGAACGGUUCCAAGUUGCUAAUGUCAAGUGGAAAGGAUAUGCAUAGAGAAGUCCAAGGGGGGAGUUGGAAUUGUGGUUGGUGGUAGUUUGAUGAGCAUAAAGAGGGCGGUGGUCAGUUUAGGGAUUAAUGAUGGUAAUUAUGUGGGAUGAGAUUGUGAGGGGGACAAUUGUGAUUACCGGAAAUCUCUUAAGACAAUAGUCACUAAUAAGAAGAGCAUUUGAAAUAUUUGAAGGAUAGUGAUGUGGUAUACAUUUGGUCUGUAAUAACAAGGGUGGAAGAGACAAGGCCUUGAUUGGAGGGAUGGCUUUGUAGAAAUGUUAUCUUGAAAAUGGUGAAUUUGGAAUUUUCAAGGAACCAUAACUAGAUUUACAUAUUUAAAUUGGAUUGCAGUUGAUCUGAGUCUAAUCUGUUAUGGGAAAAAAUGGUCUAAUUCAAUCCCCUAACCUAAUGAAUCAUUAAACAUUAUCCUAGCCAAGUUUGACGAUCAAAAGAAUCUAGUCCAAUCUGCAAUAAUCAAAUGGGGAAAAAAGAAAAGGAGCAAGGUGAGAAGGGAAGAGAAAGAGAGAGGUUUCUCCUCUUUUAAGUUAUAAGACCAAAACUGUCCAUCAUACAACUCAUGAUUUUUUUUAAAGGAAAUUUCAAUAAAUCCAUCUUAUGAUCACCUACAGAUUCAGGCACUUUGCAUCACACGUUCUAAAAUUCUAGUCAAGGUUCGCCUUCUUGGUACCGGAUCCCGUACCGGUGCCAUACCAGCACUUUGUCGGUACAGUACGGUACAGAAUUAUUUUGCCGUACCAAAUAUCGGUACGCCAUCUGUAUCGAAUACCAGUACGGUACGGUAUGCCUUGUAUUGCCUGAUUUAGGCCGAUACGGCGAACCAUAGUUCUAGUAAUAUACGUUGGCAUAUGCUGCUCUAACUUGUUAAGCUGUUUUUUUAGGGUCAUGAUGAGAUCAUCGGCAAAGCACUUCAAAGUCAUGAUGGGUCAAGCACAUGCGAAGAUUUUGUUAGUCUAGUGCAAGCCUGGCUCGGCAAAAUUCAGGUUCUUAUGGAUUAGCUAGUUCUUAUAUUUCUUCCAUGUAUACCUAGCUUCUUUAACCUUUUUUUUUCUCCGUGUCUGCUGCUAUAUAGACUUUAACAUAUUAGUAGCUCAAAAUUGGAUUCUAUUUGCUAAUGUUUUAAUUUGUUCAAUUCAUUUUCAUUUUCGGUUUCUAGUUUGAUAUGCGAGCAAGUCAUGAAUUGUUCGUACUUCAUACUUUCAUAGAGAUUAUCCAAUUAUUUGACAUGCUGUCUUCAUUUAUGGUAGCAUUUAAUAGUGCUUGUUAAUAGAUGCACAGAACAUUUUGAUCUAGUCCUUGCAAUAGUCAAGUAAAACCGAGUUUUCAUGAAACUUAUAAAUAGAUAUAGGGAAGAUAAUCUCUAUAUGUGUUUGCGUGUGUUUAAUGAGUAUCAGAAUAAUGAAGAUCCAUGUUCAUGGAUGUAGAUGUAAGUGCUUCAAUGUUUGUUCUCCAUGAAAUUGCAUUGAUACCAACUGUCUAGGAAAAUUAUUUGCUUAAAGUCUAGAUGAAUACAUACUUGAGGUUUCAUCAAUACUUUGACCAUUUUAUUUUGUAAUAGGAUUUCCACGUAGUCCACUGUUCAUUUUAUUAAAGAAAAAAAAUCUAUACCGAGCUACUUAGACUAGACAUUUUAAGGACCAAGAAAUAGGGUAAGAGCUAAGUAACCCGGAUGGAAGAAGAGGUUGAACUAAAAAAGGAUGUCGCCAUUAAUAGGCAAAAAUGGGAAGGAUUAGUAAAGCCAAGAUGACUAGAUUUGGCCGAUCAUGCUAAUGCUUAUGAUCAUCUUCUAACUAGAUGUAGUACAAGAAAAGCAACAUCAUUUGCAUUUUGCAAAUUGAACCAUGAAAAUGGCCUAGAUGGCUGGGAGAACAAAAGUGCCUGGGUUCAUGCACCAAUGGCUGUUCACAAAACUGAAAAACAAUUUGAGUUGAAUCUUUCACAGGUAAGCAAAUUGUUAUCCAUAGAUGUCUAUACGAGAUUAUGCAAUUCAUUUUAUUAUUAAAACUCCUAAUUUUACAUUUAUCAACACUCAUUAAUGGCUUCAAGGGAACCUAUGUAGUGGUUUCUGCAUUACUAAGAUAUAGUAUUAUAGCUGUCCAUGGUGGUUUUAAGGAAUCCAUUUUUGUCAAAAUGAUAUUCUUAGUUAACUUGUGUUCAUGUAAUAAAUUGGGGUAUUCACUUAGUUCAACUGUAUUAUGAGAUCAAAUUAUAUGAUGAUUCAAUAGAAUCGAUACUGGUCUAGUAAGUUAUGAAUUAGGGAGAAGUUAUGAAGAAUGUGAUUGAUAUAACUAAUAACUCUGCUUCUCUGGAGUGAUAUCACUUUUCUUUUUCUAGAAUUGAACUUUUUGGUGAAAAUUUGGAUGGAUAGAUUAGUGGAUUCCAGUGGAUGCUUGUGUGAGUUUGAUAAGAUAGAAGACUUCAGAUUGACAAGGCUCCAUGGGGGCUAGGCAGCUCCUACAGUCAAGGUACAUUAUGGUGUUCAACUCAUGCUCAAAGGAUUGAAAAAUGUCUUUCACCGUACAGUUAUGAUACCUGGACUCGCCUAAAUCCCCUAGCAUAAAUAACAAUAUCAACACGACAAAACAUACGUGUGAGUGUGGAAUUUAUGCCUGACAUGAACAUUGUUCGAACAUGACUUCCAUGAAAAGACUGUAGGGGAAGCUGAAGGUGAGGAGGAAGAGAGGGAAGGAAGGGGAGGGCGGAAAGCCAAAAGCAAGACAGAGAUACCUGGAUGAGGUGGCUUUUUGCAAUGAAGGUGGACUAGGUUGAGCGAAUGGCGUGGCCAACACCUUGCUGGUGGACAGACAAAAUGGAAGAGAGAGGACAAAUGUGAGGACAUGUGUAGGAGUUUGUUUAGUCUCCAAUUGGGUGCAUUUUGGGAAGUUUUUAGGUAUAUAAAUAGGCCAAGGACUCUAAUUAACAACCUUCUUGCUUACCUUCUUGGAUGAGAUCCUCAAUCAUUACAAGUGGCAUCAGAGCUGUUCCAACCCAUAGCCCAUAUGUGGCGAGGGGACAUGGCAGCACAAACCCUUCCAAGGCUAACCAUGAGCCCAAUCAUGAUGUUUGUCACUGACUAGACUCUCCUUGGUGAGGUUGCUAGGGCUUAAAUAGGGGAGCAUGUGAGGACCAUUGCAGGAGUGUGUUUUGUCCAUAGUGUGCUGAACCAGCCCGUACUGACCGGUUCAGCUCGUACCAGACCAGUCUGGUCCCUGACCGGUCUGGUACGGCGGUGAAAAAUAGUUCUGGCCUCUUGAGCCCGGAACCGAGUUGUACAGAAGUGUACCGAAGCGAACCGGACCGGUUUGUGCCGGGAAGAGCGCGCGCGGCAACGCUCCCCCACGCGGAAAAGCGCGCCUAUGCCCGCGCGCUGGGAACAGCGCGGGCAAGUGCUGGGCAGCGCGCACUGGCUAUGCAAACCGGUUCGGCACCGGUCGGAACCGGUACCAAACGGGUCCGAUAGGCCACCGGUACGCCUACUGGUACUAAAUCGGUCCAGUAGGCCACCCGUAUGCCUACCGGUACCGGUUCGGCGGACCAUGGUUUUGUCCCACGUUAGGUUUGGAUUGAAAGGGUCUUGGGUACACAAACAGAGUUAAGGACCCAAAUUGAGAUAAUCUUCUUGCUAUAGCUAUUUUUGGAUGAGGUCCUAAGUCAUUGUAGCAGAGGUGAUAGAGGCCAUUGUGUGGUGGCAUCAAACGAGAAGGGAUUAAAUACGGAUCUGAUUCAAGCAUACAGCAUAUGCAUUGCAAAUGUUUAUAAAGAACAUGAGAUGGAUGCUUUGAUCCCAUUGGUUAAGAAGCUAUUAACUUUUAGUCCCUUUUUUGUAUGCUACUUUGUCGAAAGGAUUUAUUCACAAAGAGUUUUUAUUGUUGUGAGUUGUGACCUUGCUUUGAUUAUUAUUUAAUACCAAUCCUGUCUCUGGAAGAAACAAGAAUAUGUUUGCGAAACAUACAAAAAAAAUCAUAAUUAUAUCCAUGAUAGAUAUGAAUGGAUGUGAACAUGGCACGACUGUCACUAAAAAUGUUAAAAAUUCACGAUACGGUUUCACAAAAAUUAGUUGAUGUAUAGCAUGUCCACAUAUUCGUAUUCUGUUUCUGAUCCUUUUUAGCCAAAUCCCUGAAUACUAAGAUUUGGUGAUAAGAUGGAUCUGCCUCUUGGACAUGCACCUGAGACCAGUACCCAUAUCCAUGUGACAAUAUUAUUCAGGUUAGAAAAUAUUGGAUAGCUAGGUUAGGUGACUUUGGCCUUCGAGAGAUGGGUUAACUUGGAAUAGUUGGGUUAUCUUGGCUGGGACUUUGUGACCUAAGAUGCUUUUGUAUAUGUGGCAGGAAAUACCAAUGACCUAUGGCUUAGGGUCAAGUUUAGUGGAGCUAUUGAUUUCGAAGAUACUUCGGUUUAAUAUGGUUUACAUGCAUUAAUGGCUGGUUGACUUUGCAAUUAUUAAAAAGAGAACAUCCCAGUGCAUAAGGUUUCUGCCGCCACAGGAUCUGGGAAGGGUCAAAUGUAUGCAACAUUACCCCUCCACUACCAGCCAAUUGACUGGCUAUUCGGGUGUUCUGAAUAUGCUUGGAGAGAGAACAUCCCUAAUGGACUGAAUGUGAUGACCUGUAAUUACAGUUUCCUAUCACUUGGAUGACAUAAUCUGCCCUAAGAACUUGGCCUUGGUCGAUAAGAAAGUGGAUGUCCACGAGAAAACCAUUAAAAUGAGUACAUUUAGUGAAACUAUUAUUGAGAAUAAAAAAUGGGCACAUCUAUGGAAACUUCAUCAAAGGACGUGGUAAAAGAGAGGCAAAGGGAAUCUAUAAUCAUUUAGGUGAUGACCAGAAAUUUGAUUAGGAGUUUGGUUCAGGUCUUCAAUAGGCUCUCUAGCAAGGUGAAACUGCAAAGCAAUGAGGAUGGCCCAGAGCGAGAUUUGGUAAUUGUUGAAGUGCUGGGCUUCCAAGGCCGUGAAAUUUCUUGUACUUUAUUGAAUUUUUUUUUCUUUCAAAGACUAGUCAUGGGCACAUUAGAAAAACCGCACCUUCCCGUGCAGCAAGCAGAAGGAAGAACUUAAGGUUCUCCAGCUAUGGGAGCCCCAAGCCAGAGCAUGCAAGGUUGACAAAUCAAUACAUGAAUACCAGAACAGAUGGACCUACACAAUCAUAGUGUCAUAAUUUACUGCUGUAAAUUAUAUUUUUGGCCUUUUUGCUUGAGAAAACAAUGUGAGCAAAAAAAUGUACUGAUUCCAUUUUUUGGCAGGGGAUGAAUGGAAUAAAUAGUGUUGGAUAGAUGUUUUGAAAAGUUUAGAUGUGCAUUUGUGCUGCACAUUAUGCAACACAGUUUCAUGAAGGCACAGGGAUGCACUUUCUACAUUUGUAUGUAUGCAUAAAUUCUCACAUAGUACUUAAUUCACGUGCUGAGGUGUAUUGCUGCUCAUAUAGCAAUAUGUUCCAUGCAACUUUAACACAAUUUUUUUAUCCCCAUCUGAAUGCACUUGUAUAUGCCGAAAAUUAGGUGAACUUGUAGCUUUCAUAGAUGCAGAUCCAUCAAGUAUUUAUAUUUAGGUUACUUCUGAUAAUUUUGUUCAUUUAUUUUGAACUAUAUAUCAAAUCUAUCCUUGUAUGCUUUUAGUGGACAGAUUCAUUGCGUGGUGUUUUCGGUGAGACGAAUCAAAGUGAGCUGGCAGCAUUCACAUCAUAUGCAUUGGCUUUUCCAAAUAAUUUCCUCACCCUUGUAGACACCUAUGAUGUAAGUAAACUUGAUUUUGCAAUCUCUAGUAUCUUUCUCUAUGUCCUUAGUGUGCUUGACUAAUUUGUUUAUGCAUUGUCUAUUUGUUGUAACUCCUAUUGUUUUGACUCUCUCUCUCUCUCNNNNNNNNNNNNNNNNNNNNUCUCUCUCUCUCUCUCUCUCUCUCUCUCUCUCUCUCUCUCUCUCUCUCUCUCUCUCGUGUGUGUGUGUUACCCAACAUCUUCAAUAUGAACCUUAUUGUAUGUUAAUGAUGUGGGCUUGCCUUAUUUUCGUUUCCCAGGAGUCCCAGGGGUUGUUUAAGUCUUUGAGUUCAAUUUUAUUAUGAUUUUUGGGCCUAUUCUUAGGAUUUUGCGUUCCUAAUUAGUGUAGAUUGGUGCCUUAAAGUCCUGCUUGGGUAGGAAACUGUUAUCAUUAUAAAUUAGUUUCAAAAAGUAAGUUUUAUGUCACUAUAUGUAAGUUUCCAUAUAUUCUAAAUGCUAUUUUUUCUUUUUGCCUUGUCUUUUGAAAGUCUUCAAGUAAGAGAAAUUUAACUGCUACUAGAAUCAAUGUUCUAUUAGAAGAAAAGGAUUUUCUUCAUUUUAUAAGUUGUACUCUCAAACUCAAAAGCAAGUUGCUUGCUUUCCCUAUCGCACUUAUCCCAGAACUGCAUUACAGCACUUCUGAAUAGUAUUCAGCUAAGAAACAUGGGUCCAAAAAUCCCAAAAGGCAGCUCCAAAGAGAAAGAGAGGGGAAGUGAUGGGAGGGGCAUGGGCGGGGGAGGGGUGGGGAGGGGGGAGAGGGGAGGAAGAAGGUAGUGGGAGGGUUGAUGAGGAAGGGGUUUGGGUGUUGGUGGAUGGGGAAUAGAGAACGAGGAGAGGAUAUAUCUCACGGCUCAACUAAAUAUCAUGCUUUAUUUGGCCUUAUCUGGCCCACUUAAUUUCAACUGAAUUGAUAUAUCUCAAUAAAUUAUUAAUUUAAAUAUAUAGGGUAAAAAUGAGCGAGUAAAAUAAUCACUAUUAUGUAUUCAACAGAUGCUUCCUAAAUGCUUCCAUCUCAUCAUACCCUAAUUUUUGCAUCUGCACCGUACCUACAUGGCUGUAACUGCUUCAAGCUACUAAGCUCUUAAAUCUAUAUGAAACCCAUAAUGACCUAGAUUAGGGAUACAACUUCAUUUAAAAUUACACUACGGAUUUUGAACAAUAAAGCAAGUGUGCCAUCUCUUCUUCAUGGUGGUGUGACCCAAGAUACGCCGAACCGGUGGCGACCUGGUCCGCCACGCGGCAGCGUGCGCGUGUGGUUGGUACCGGUUCGGCGUACCAGUGGCGACUUGGUCCGCCACGUGGGAGCGCACCCGCGCGGUUCCCAACGCGCGCGGGCGCGCCGCCCAGGUCAUCAUCCUCUUUCAUUUUUUCCAUAGGUUCCCAAAAAUUGUUUUAUUCCUUUUUCAUAUUUGUAUAAAAAACCAAAAUCCGUCUUUUAACCCCACUUCUAUCCAUCCUCUUUUUCUUUCCUUUUGUUUUCUUCCCACGUUAGUUCAACUUAUUUCAAAGAAAUGCCUCCAGCAACCUUGGAUUAGCAAAUUGUAGUGUCAGUUUACUUUCUAUAUCAGCGCAUUGAUUUCUACUUAGAUCAUGGUACCAUAUCCUAAGAUAAAUCUUUACCUCUCAUAUCAAUUUCAUAUCAAAAUUCCAAUGUUCGAUUUGAAGAGAAUUUCAUGUUUAAACAGAAAUUUCUACAUAGCUUGGCCUUUCACUAAUUUUUGCAACGAUACCCAUGAAAUAUUUAUGAACUUCAUCUCCACAUGUUUCUAUAAAUUUGCAUAUAAUUCUCCAUUAUUUUGAUUACCUGCAUCCUGAACAUAAUCCUAAGUUGACACAACAUUCACUUUUCAUGUUUGCAUAUGCAUUAAACCCAGCCCUGUAAGCCUAGAAACAAUGCUUGUAGCACUUAUUUUAUUCAAGGUCAAAAUCUUGGUGAACAUAUCAUAUAUCUAUUUUUCAUGUCACUGUGGAUUGAGGGUAUCAACUUGGUAUAACAAGUGAUUAAUAAGAUUUGCUCUUGCGCUUUCUGGACAGUACUUCUAGCCAUAUCAAAUGAGAUUGCUUGGUCAGAGUUCACCAAUCUGAGGCUAUAUAAAUGGAUAAGUUGAUCUGUGAAAUAUAAGGACAAAAAAAAAGCCAUUCAUAGGAUGAGUUUGAAUAUAUGUAUAUUUCAUACUAACAAAGGAAUAAUAAGUCACUAUGUGAAGUGUUGGUGAACAUGUUUAAGUAUUUCAGGUUGAUUAGAAAUUAUUAGUCGUUCAACUUGCUUUAAUUGCCUUAUUGCAUACUUUAUACAUGUAUAUUGUGGUCAUAUAAAUGAAUGCUUUCAGCCUUGUAAGUCGUGUUGAUAUCUGGUAUCCAAUACUUUGAUGUCUAUUUUGUGCUAGUUUAAUAAUUUAGGAGCUAACAGUUGAGAUAUAUUUUAAUCAGGUUAUGAGGAGUGGAGUGCCUAACUUUUGUGCGGUAGCUUUAGCACUUAAUGAUUUGGGGUAAGUUUUAAGCCUUCAAAUUGUGUAAAACAAUUUGUAUUACAGUUUAAUUCAAUGAAGUCUUCAAUCCUUAUAUACUCUACAUUUGAUUGUAAAUAAUGUACAGUUAUGGAGUUUCCAUUCUUUAUUUGGUGGAUUUAAAUAUUUCCCAUUUACUUUGUCAUUUUCAUAAUUUUUAAGCACCUAUCUAGUUUAAGGACAGAAUAUAAUUAGAGUUUAAUUAAAGUUAGAAAAAUUGAAAAGAAUGGUAAGAAUUCAAAAUUACUGUAUAGUUUUCUUCUAUAACAUCUCUAUGCGAAUAUCAUCGAUUUAAUAUUUCUUCAGCAAUGUAGAAUCUAGCACCGUAAUCGUUUUUCAUAUGUUUUUAUGUGAACACAUUGAGUGAAGCAGCUUAGUACUCCAAGUCAUCUUUUUUAAAGAGGUGAGCCUUGGUGCAAUGGUAAGAUCGCUACAUAGUGACCUGAGUAUGCUGGUUCGAGAAAUAGUAAAGGUAAAGCUACAUAUCCCCGGAACCUGCAAUUGUGGGAGCCUCAUGCUUGAGCUGCCCUUUUUUUUACUGUGUAUGAAAUUAUAAUUGAUUGUUAAACAUGGUGUAAUAUGGUCAACUAGGUGUUCGUCUGGUCAUCAGUGGCAAUAAUUUGCAUUUAGGAAUGAGCAUAUUUAUGACAAAAUCAAGGUAGUACACUAGUACUAGUUGCUAGAAGUCUAGUCAAGCAAUAAGAGUUUCUCUUACUAAUUGGGAGAUUGUUAAACAUGGUGUAAUACGGUCAACUAGGUGUUCUUCUAGUCAUCACCGACAAUAAUUUACAUUUAGAAACGAGCAUCUUUUAUGACAAAAUCAAGGUAGUACUAGUUGCUGGAAGUCUAAUGAAGCAAAAGAGUUUCUCUUACUAAUAGGAAGGUGCUUGAAGUAAUGUUUUAAAAAUUCAUUAGGUUGACCCAUUUGAUCCAUUGCCCCUUAAGCAAAAUGUUUUUGGUCAAUUUGAGACCUGGAAUAUUAAAAGACCCAUUGAGCUAGAAGGUUCAACCACUUAACUUAAACCAUUAUGCUUCGAUUGUCCAACAAGCUACAUAUCUUUAAAAAAGGAAAAGAAAAAGGGACGAGAAUGAAAAGCCCAAGCCCAACUCUUUUCUUUGUCUGAUCCACCAGAGACCAACUUAUCCUCACCGCCCACCUCCUCUCAUUUUAUAUGUUGCUGUUGAUUGAUCCCUAAGUCACAGACUUACAGUCAUUCCUAUUGCCAACAACAGGACUUGACCACUUUUCUCUUAGCUACUUGUGAAGAUGCCAGAAUCAUGUUCUUUUGUGUCAUUGAAGGUCUUUCCCCUUCUCUUCCUUUUUGGAUUAAAGUAGCAGGCUAAAGGUUUUGAACUCUCUCAUGCAAUCCAGUAGAAGAUGAUCUGGGGAAAGGGAAGAUAGUGAUUAAAGAAAGGAAAUCUUAUGAAAUGAGUAAAGUGCUGCGAAUGAUGAUUUAGGAAAGAAACUGAUGCAAUCUUGAAGGGAGGGGAUCCUAUUCAAUGAGGAUGGGAAAAAAGACUUUUAAUCUUUUAUGGAAGAGGACAUUGAAAAAGGAGAUUAGAAAAUAGUGUGCUUCAUCCAAUCAACCCACAGUCAACAGGUCACCCGUGAUCCAAUCUUGGGCAGACGCCGGGGGGUAGUGGGCCACAACCCAGCACUACCCCGUCCAAAAAAGGAAAAAAAAAUCUGAAAUUGCCUUAAAAUCUAUGACGCUCCUUCAGAUAAAUUAAAUCUUGAGUAAUCCUAAACAAAAUUAGGAAAUAAUAAGUAAAAGGGUUGCUCGCCGAAGUAAAUUCCUUAGAUUUCUCUCUACUCCUUCCACGUCUCUCUCUCUCGCGUGCGCGCGACUCCCUUAUUCUUUCAAUUUAGUGUCAUUUAGUGUCUUUCCUUCUAUUGGGGAACCAUCUCGAAUUGUUAGUUUUUCUACCAAAUAAGUUCUUGUUAAUUUAUGCAAACUUUGACCAAAUUAUGACAAUGAAUGGAUAUUACCGUAAAUCACUUUCCAUAUAAAUUAUUUGAUUACCAUUACAUAGUAACCUAUAUGUAAUGCCAUUUUAUUGAACCAGAAAAAAAGUAAUUAUAGUAAAUGAUGGAGAAAGAUAAAAAAAUGAAGACAAAAGUUAAACAUACCCUUUUCUUCCUUUUUUCAUAUUCAAAAGCAAUUGAUCCUUUGUAGUUUAUUUUUUCAGGGUUUCGUUAUAGCUUUUCCUUAUUUUUUCAAAUCGAUUUUUCAUCCAAACCCUUAAUAUUUAUCAAAAGUAAAUUUAUAUUGUUUAUAGAAUUCCUAAAUCUCUAUAUACUUUGUCGAAUCAUCUUUUUUAUGGCCAUUAGAUCAUUACUUUUUUAAACAUAUUAUGCAAAAUAAUAAAGAGGAGUCUAUCUAACAAAAAAAGAUUGUAACCUAUAGAGUUAUAGGUCUCUUUUUGUCUAUAUUAAUAAGCAAGUCUGAUUUUUUAUGCGAUUAUUUUAGGGACAGAUGGAUUGGUCAAUGUACAAAAAUGCAACUCUAGCAAUUAAAUAUGAUUUAUUUUGAGAAAGAAAUUUUAAAUAUAAUUUAAUCAAAAUAAAUACUUUACAUAAUUUUUUAUGAAAAUAAAUGUAGUAUUUAAUUAGAUAUUUUUGUCUUUAGAAGUAUUAUAUAUUGUCCCCAUGACCUUGUGGACCCUCUGCCAUCCAUUGCAGCAUAGUCGUUUCAUUAGCAAGGGGGGCUAAGCGCAGUUCUUGAAUCAAACGUUGAAUGAAAUCAAAAUUGAUUCUUUUUUAGAUANNNNNNNNNNNNNNNNNNNNNNNNNNNNNNNNNNNNNNNNNNNNNNNNNNNNNNNAGAUUUCAUGUUCUGCCCCUAGACCCAACUAAAAAAGUUGGUUGAGCUAGCUGACCCGUUCUUACACUAGCUUAGAGUGAUUAAUUUGGACUUUUGGAUUUAGUCAUGAUAAUUGACUUUCAUGAUCAUUCUUUAGUUUGGUUAUGGUCAAUCUAUAUUCAACCAACUCAUGUAUAUCUUGGAUGAACAUGAGUGGAGUCAUCUGCUCCAUGUUCCAUCAAUGGCUAAAGAUCCUCUAUUGCAUCCCAACUAAGUGUAAAAUCUUGUUACAAUCAAGGUGACAUCAUCUAAUUUUGACCAGUGUAUGUUAUUAGUAUUAUAAUCCUUUCUCAGAUAUUCCAACUAAAUGUUCAGUUUAAAACCCUAACUACAGUUUCAUAUGUUUGAAUCAUCUUGUUCAUACUUUAGUUGUUAAAUAAAUAUUAUUUUGUAAUUUCAUUCAUUCAAAAUGUUCUUAUAUUACAGAGUCAUAGUAGAUAUCACUAUGUUAUAAAAGGCAAUGAGUGUUGAUGCCAUGGUUUGCCAUACUGCCCCAUACCGCCCGAUAUGGGGCGUACCAUACCAUACCGGAAGAAAAGCGGUAAGAAAUUUAAUUUCAAGUUGGUACAAGCCCUGUACUGAGGUAUACCGAUUUGUACUGAGACUUACUGAGGUGCGUACCUAUCUGUAUCGAGGCUUACCGAGUUAAAAAUUAAAAAAAAAUGGUUAGAGCUAUUUUGAUACAGUGAUGUACAAUAUCGUACCGAACUGAUAAGGUUCCGAUACGGUAUCCGGUAUUCAGAUUGCGGAUCUUGAUUGAUGCCCUUAUCCAGCUUAUGAAGAGGGAAAAACACUAAUGACAUCAUAUCCCUAUUUAGUUAAAACAUUUAAUGUCAUCCUUUCUUAUGGGCUUAUGAGCUGUCCUUAUCAACAAUUGAAGCAAAGUUGUAUAAUUAAAUUAAAGUAGGAAAAUAUACCUAGUUUAGAGUUCAAACAUAGAGAAAGUUCAAAAAUUGGAAAAACAAGUUGAAGCUCUAUUAUUAAGUAAAUGACCAUAUUAUAGGCUUGUAUUCCUCUUUUCGUUGCAUACAAUGAUCAAAUAGAAGUCUUUGCUGCUCUCUCUUCUUUAUGAAGAAUAAGCUUUCUAGACCCCUAAAUCAAAAAUCCAAUCUCCCAAGCGCCAUACAAGAAUGACCUCCUUGAGGCCGUAGGUCAUAGCAGAAGAAAGGAUGUGGAGAAGAUCACAUUGGAUGGUGGAGAAGAAUAGGAUCAUACAUUGAUGUGGAAGGUGACUUUUUCUAGGAGGGGAUGAGAAUGACAAACGUCCUUGUCUAGCCAUACUAUGGCAUCCUCCCCUAGUGCUUGUGCCUUCGCCUCCUAUCUUGUGUAGGUUGAGGAAACAUGUGCUCCUGCAUGUUUUUUCUCCCUAUCAUCCUCCUCUCUUUUUAUGGUAGAUGUAAGAGGUCCAAUUUACUAUUGAUCCCAUCCUCAUCCCACUUCAUUUCUUUGAACUUCCAACUAUGAGGCUAUAGUUGAUAUCAGGCAGGUUCCUUUUUUUCAUUUUUUAUUUAUUCAGCUUUUUUUUGCCGAGGCGAUGAAUCAUACAUGUUUUGUAUGGAUGCAUCCAACAAAGUCAGAAAAGAAGAUGUCACGUAUCUGAACUGACACGGUAGCAUAAUCCAUGCAUGUAUCCAGCUUCAAAAGCAUUUUAUAUUAUCUCAAGCAUGCCCUAGACAGCUCUAUAGAACAAUCACUAUACUCUCUAGGUGCUGUUCUGUAAGGGAUUAAAAGAUAUCAUAAAGCAUUUAUAUAAAGCAUUGCAAGUAAAUAAUUGUAAAGAAAAGGAAAGCAUUUGUCUUUAAUUUAUUCUUUUUGCAUGCAACACCUUUGAAUGCCAACCAAGGAAUUCCUAAUCUUCCAAAUACCAUAUUAAGUUGUUGAUGCAACUGCUCAGAUUUGCAGGAGAGAGAAUAGAAAGAAUCAGAAAAUGGAGAAGGGAAUUAAAGAUUAAUCAUGGAAGAGGCAGUUGUCUAAAGAAGAGUAUUGGGAAUGCUAAGAAUGUACCACUUCUUGCCUUAUUCUUGUCAAACCUUAGUCCCUAUGGAAAUCAUCCUCAUUUGUUGUGAACCUUUCAACUCACAAUGUGCACAUGGGUUAUCCAUCAUGAUGAUGGAGAAGUCCAAGAUGAGGGGCUAAGGUUUGAGUGGAGGUGGGGCAACCAAGGAGCGGAAGGAGGCAGAGGCAAGGCUUUAAUGCUUGGUUAUGCUGAUUCUUGCCGACAUUCCCCUGUUGGGUUAGUACGGGCACAAACACUUGGUUGGCAUGGCACAUGCCAUGCUGGCCGCUAGCUGGCAAACCUCAUAGAUUUAAUUGUUGGUUUGGGGAUGUGGGGGUUUGAAGUGAUGAGAUGCCUUUCACUUGCUUAAAGCAUGAAACUCAAAGCUAAUCAAUAGUUAAAAAUGUGAGGACCCGUGCGGGCGUGUGUUUAGUCCCACNNNNNNNNNNNNNNNNNNNNNNNNNNNNNNNNNNNNNNNNNNNNNNNNNNNNNNNNNNNNNNNNNNNNNNNNNNNNNNNNNNNNNNNNNNNNNNNNNNNNNNNNNNNNNNNNNNNNNNNNNNNNNNNNUAGGAGACACUGCAGCACGAAUCCAUUGGGGCUGACCACGGGCCAAUCGUGGUGUUUGUGAUUAGAUUUGAAUAGAUAUGAACCCUUAGCCUGACGAGGACGUCAGGGCUUGAACGGGGGGAGUAUGUGAGGACCCGUGCGGGCGUGUGUUUAGUCCCACAUCGGUUAUUCGCUGGGUAGAUCUUGGGGACUUAUACAGGAUCAAGGAACCCAAAUAAUACCUUUCGGCUAGCCAUUUUGGGUGAGGUCCUAAGUUGUUACAAAAAAUCUACUAUGUUUUCUACUACUAGCACUCAAGCACAUGCAAUGCAAGUUUCGUGAAAAUAAAAAUAAAUUUGAACUAGAUUAUAUAUAAAUUAAAAUUAUUAUUAUUAUGUAAAAUAUAAUUAAUUUCCAAAUAUGGAAGAUUUGAAAUAUACACCAAUUUCUAGAAUUUUGAUCGUGGGUAGGAUUUUAUUGACAUUUUAGUUAUGAUUAAUUUCCAGUGUGACUGAUCACCAAUUUCUAGAAUUUUAUUCUUGACUGGGACUUUAAAAGUCUAAAUAAUUUCAAAAAUAUCAUGAAAUAUAAAAAUUUUGUAUAGAAGUUCUACUUGACUAUACUUCAUUUCCAAAAUUAUUUUAAUGUUUGAUUACAACUAAUUUCCUAAGACAACCAAUUUUAUAGAAAUUUAACUGCAGGUGGGAUUUUGAAUAAUUUCAAAAUAUCAAUUGGUGGGGUAUUUUAUGUAUUAGAGAAAGAGCAGUAGGGUAUUUUCGAGAUUGGGAAAUGGCAUAGAAUCUGGAAGGAAUAUCCUUAGAUCUCAAAACUCAUUUUUAUAUGGUAGAGAUAUUACUCAAUAGAAGCUUUUAGCCUCAUUCAAACAUAUAAAAAUAUGGCUUUGCUAACAAUUAAACAAAUUGAAAAUAGAUGCAACAGCUAUAUUUCCUACAACAAUGAGAUAAUCAAAGAAAUAAAUUUAGAGUUUUAACAUCAGAGGGAUUCAAUUGGAUGGAGUUCACCUGGGAGUUCAGUUCCACGUGAUGGAGCUAUCUCAAUCAUGGCAAUACUACCAAAUAAAAGACCGCUUCCAACAUGACUCGAAGUUGAGGCCUAGGUAUUACAUACUUUUUAGUAUUUAAAUUAUUUUGAUAUAUUUAAUAUACUAUGCUUGUCUAGAUUUAAUUUAAAAACCCAAACAUGUAGAUACAGGUACUUAUUUUACCAGAUAAGAUUGAGGUUCAGAUCUGGUUAAGUAUUUCCCUUUUUUACGGACUGGGAAGAGAUGCUAGUAGGACAGUGUUGUUUUCGUUUGUGCUAGUCCCACUAGCCUAACAACAAAAGAGAUUGUAUCUAAGGGAAUGUGAAUCAUGUACACCAUUCUACGGAUUAACAGUUCCAUGUCACAUUUUGCCUCUUAUCUAUUUAUUGUAGUUCCCUUUAGUCCUCUACAACCAUACUGACUUUUUUUGAUCAUCAUCUGGCUGUCGACUGUAAUGCAAACUACCUCUCUAGCAGCACAUGCAUUGCACGUGCCUGAAUGCCUGAAUAAUUUCACAACAGAAAUUUUAGGGGAGGGGUUUACUUGUUAUGCUCCUACACGAUAAAGUUAUCAGGACAAUUUAAUUGAUGAUUUUAUUAACAAUCUUCAGCUAAUUUUUCCUUAUAACUUUAGGAUAUCAAAACUAUAUGUGUUUUAGAUUUGCUUGUGGGACAAUAUUGAGAACUUCCAGUGUUACUUAUUACUCAUGCAACCUUACACAUUUUAAAACAAUAGCUUAUGCACAUGCAUGAAGGCAAACUGUACAAUCACAAAUGCGCAGUGUUAUUAUGUUCACAUGCCUGAUGGUAUCCUUGGGGCAAGACCAAUGAGGGAUGGCUUGUAGCUCAUGGGAUGACCUAGGGAAAGGAUUAAUUUAGGGUUUGAUCUAAUUUCAUUGCUCAUUGUAUUGUACCUUUAUACAGGACAACAACAGUCAAUCUUUGAGAUAUCCACAAAUGAAAAGUUCAAAUAAACCUGACCUAUGGUUUUUGUGAUAGAGUAGAUAGGUUGAAUAAAAUUCUAAAGGGCUCCAGGCUAAAUUAGAGGUACAUGCUUGGCCUAUAAUUGAAAUUUAGCAAACAGUGCUUGCAAAAUAGGGAGUAAGAUGAGAGUGAGAUAAGAAUGGCUGAACCUGGCCCAAAUAAUCCUUUCUUUCAAAACAAAGUAACCUGUCUCCAUAUCUACGUGCAAAACCUUUCCUAAAAUGUGAGUUUAGAUUCUCUGGGAAACCCAUAGAAAGUCAGAAUCCCAUAUAGAAAGAAACAUCCAAGUAUUAAAUCCUUAAAGCUCUAUGGAUGUCAAACCCCUUUAUAUACCUAAAAUAGGACCUUUGUACACUAAGCUUACUUAAAACAAGUCUAAAACCAACUAAAGAAAUUAUAUAACUAAAGGCUCAGAAAAUGCAAUAAAAUCUAAAGUGAUCAAAUUUUCUUCUCCAUCUUUCAAUCAAGUCAUGCAAAUACCAUGUAACACUGAUACAUGCACGCAUAACAGUCCUAUGCAGAAAUGAUGGGUUUCAUUUAUUUCCAUGAUGAUGCGUCCUUGGUAUCUUGCAUGAGCUUAAUGGUGACCUGA